CUGGAGGUGACGGCGCAGGGGCUGGGCUGCAUGGGUAUGUCCGCCUUCUACGGCCCUCCCAAGUCCGACCCCGACAUGAUCGCCCUCAUCCACCACGCCGUCGGCUCCGGCGUCACCUUCCUCGACACCUCCGACGUCUACGGCCCCCACACCAACGAAAUCCUCCUCGGAAAGGUCGGUUCUCUCAGUCUCUCUUUUGCCUCCGCAUGAAUUAUAUAGGGGAUUUAGCUUCAUCGAGCAGUGUGCUCCGAUCCUGCGCCUUGGUUUUCUGAUUUCGGGGUUGAUUUUGAGCAGGCACUGAAGGGAGGGGUGAGGCAGAAGGUGGAAUUGGCGACCAAGUUCGGAAUCAGCUUCGCGGACGGGAAGAGGGAGAUCCGGGGUGAUCCGGCGUACGUGAGGGCGGCUUGCGAGGCCAGCUUGAAGCGGCUCGACAUCGAUUGCAUCGACCUCUACUACCAACAUCGCAUCGACACUCGCGUCCCCAUCGAAGUCACUGUAUGGAUCCCUCAUCAAACCUUUACCUCUCUUAAGACAUUCUCCGAGUGAUCAGUUGCUAAAUUAGAUUGGUGUUGAUGAUGCAUCAUCAUCAAGAUAUCGUUAAAUGAGACUUGAGUUCAGAUGAUAGCAGAGUUCAAGAUGCGGCACGGUGUUGUUCAAGGGAUUGUGGAAUUUAGUAGUUUAUAUGGCUUGAGUUUUUGUUUUAUGGGUCAACAAGCAUGAAAAUUAUUUGAAUUCUUUAUUUGAGAUGAAAGUGCUCCAGGGUUCAUCCUGAUUUAUAUCUGAGAAUCACAUUUGAAGUUGUUCCUGGACUUUCUGCGGAGACAUUUGGUUCUUGACAUGUCAUUGUGAAUUAUGACAAGUACUUGGAAUACUUCUUUAAUUUGCCUUCUUCUGUAAUAGAUUAGAGAGAUCCACCUCCGUUAACGCAAUACCUUGCGACUUUCUUGUUGCAUUGAGAUGCACAAAGAUUGACUAUUUUUUGCUGGGAGCUACCUAGUCAAAUUGUAAUGUUUGAGAAGUCAGGGAACACAAACUAUUCAGGCAUCAGGACACAAGAAAAACUAAUGAUGUUCAAUAAUUUCUGGACUUAACAUGUAAGAUCUUGACGAUUGUUGUUUUUUCAUGUGAAUAUGCACAGAUUGGAGAGCUAAAGAAGCUCGUUGAAGAGGGUAAGAUCAAGUACAUCGGUUUAUCCGAGGCCUCUGCGUCAACAAUCAGAAGAGCACAUGCUGUUCAUCCCAUCACAGCGGUGCAACUGGAGUGGUCGCUGUGGUCAAGAGAUGUGGAGGCAGAGAUCAUUCCCACGUGCAGGUAGGAUAUCACUGUUUAUUUGUUUAUGCAGUAACAACAUCUUUCUUCUGACUCUGCUCUUCCUUUAAAAUGUUGACUAGGGAGCUUGGCAUUGGAAUUGUUGCCUACAGUCCUCUUGGACGAGGAUUCCUUUCUGUUGGCUCCAAGUUGGUGGAGAAUCUCUCCAAGGAUGACUUCAGACAGGUCUGUUUCUGCUGGUCAACAUAAUUAGAUGCUCACAGUGACUGUCAUUCCCAUUGAAGUGCUGGAAACCUGUUCUUAUGCUAUAAAGAAAAAGUAUCUGGAUGUUAUGAAUAAAACUUUAUGACACAAACGCUUCAUAUUCUUAUUCGAUCCAGCACUCGCCAGUCAUCCCACCUCUCGUGAUUCUAGAUAAAUUUAAAAAUCACAAGUAAUGGCUUUAAUGAGCCUGAAAGGGGCAGUUUCCCAGAUUCUUGUGCUUUUGGGAAUGAAUAAAUAUAGGUUUAUUUGUAAGUUGCUCCGUUUCCCAGCUUUCCCACCAUUUGCUAAUCACUAUCCUUUCCCCGCUUUCCACCCACCCUUUUUCUCUCAAUUCUUUAGAAGAUUAGCAAUAUUUGCUCAAAAUAACCGACACCAAUAUUGGGCCUUGGCCUCCGUCCUUUUUUUUUUCUCAUUUUUCUUCACAAGAUAAAUUAUAUCUUGACACAACCAUUUCUUGAGUGAGGACUCCCUAACACCCUUCUUAUGGUAGUUUUGGGAUCAAGUUCCCAUCUGACAUAAAGCCAAUUGUGUAUUACUCCCGGCCAUUAGUGUUUGACUAGCGAUAGUGCUGGGCAAGUGAAGUAGCUAUUUUUCUUUAUAGCUAAAAGAGCUUUGCGUCUGAUAACAUUCUUCUACACGUCAUCUACCUUUUGUGAUUUUUUUUUCUUAUGUGUAUCAUACGUACAAAACUUAGAUUGUCGAGUUUGUUUCUGUUUUCACAUCCUACAUCAAACCCAUCAGCCUUGUGUGGUAGUUGCUAGAUCACUUGGCUUGGCGUUUCUAAUGCUUAUGAUUUGGGGCUAGAUUUUUUAAUCAUUUCAAGAUAAUCUAUAACUGAUCAUGCUUUUCCAGGUACACAACAAUUGUGCACUUCUAAAUGCUUAUUAUGUCAAGUAACAAGGCAAUCUGUUGGCAUGCAAUGCGAUCACUUUUGCACCUGUUGCUGUAGAAUUUGGCCUUAAAAGGAAAAUGAUAGUUGCUCAUAUGCUUUCUGCUGAGACAUUGCUCUAUGUUAUGCAGUACCUACCAAGGUUCCGGCCAGAGAACUUGGCUCACAACACAAAGUUAUUCGACCGAGUGAAUGAAAUUGCACAAAGAAAGGGAUGCACCCCGUCGCAGUUAGCCCUCGCCUGGGUACACCACCAGGGUGAUGAUGUUUGCCCAAUUCCUGGCACGACCAAGAUUGAGAAUUUCAACCAGAACAUCGGAGCUCUAUCAGUGAAGCUUACACCGGAAGAGAUGGCGGAGCUCGAAUCGAUUGCUUCUGCAGACAAUGUCAAGGGUGGCAGGUACGAUGGAAACCUCUCUACAUGGGAAAACUCCGACACUCCACCCCUUUCUUCUUGGAAACCUGCCUAGAAACAUGUCUACUUCUUUUGCUGCGUCUUUGAUAUGCAGAGUUUGUGCAUUUGCCGCUGAAGUAAUUUGAGGCUAUGUUGUGUGGCUUUUAUAAGUAUGUGUAAUAAGAGUGACUGUUUUCGUUUUGUACAACAUGUGACAUUCACUAUGAGAAGAUUAUGGAUAUGUACUAAGCUUACUGGGGAAAGAUCACUCGAUAAACACAAGAGCGAGUUGAAUAUGAACUGAGCCUGCCAUGCCGACUUUAUCGGGGUGACUUUUAGAAUCUGAGAAAUCGGGAUUUUGAAGAAUUCAAACUCAGUCGUACAUACUAAGUGACGCUUUAUUCUCCUCCAACCAUGAGUUCAAUACUAACACCGUGUGCAACAUACUCUUAAGACUGGAUGCUACACAUAGAUACAAUGCUUCGCUUUGUGUUUGGUUUGGUAGCGAAGUAAAGGAACAGUAAAAUGUUACCGGAUGUUCUCGCAAAAACAAAGUUUGGGAUAAAAUGCUGGCGUAGUUGAUAUGAGUGUCGGGGAAAUCAAAGGUUUCUUGUUCAAGUUUCACCACCUACGGUGCAUGAGCUUUUAUGUAGCUCGAUACCUUUGCUCAUGCCUCUGCAUUAUUAUAAAACAGUCGGAGAUAUUGCGCAAGUUUCCUAAAAUUAAAAACGACACUUCUAUUGUUUUUUAUUUGGAAUUAGAGUGGAGCAAUGUUGUUUUGUUUUGGUUUAGGAAAAUAACGCAAAUAGUCAUUAAACUUUGGUCCAAUGUGUUAUGUUCUUACUGAACUUUUAAUUUAUUUAGUAUGGUUGUCGAACUUUUUGUACAUGUUUAAUUUAGAUCCUAGGCUAGAUAAAUCUAAUGACGCUGUGUUUGGUCGUUCGAACAUCUUUGCUAUAUGGGAUAAUGAUAGGAUAAAAAUCCCAUCUAAUAUUUCUUGACGUCCGGAUAUAACAUGAUUCAAAUAAAACAAAUUUAAAUGAGUGUUUGAUUUGUAUAAUUAAAAUUAAAAGUAAACCAUGGAAGUCGUGAAUAGUAUUCAUCCUUUCACAAUCUUCAUCGAUAUUAAACACCCCCGUUCCAUGUGACUUCAAGGACGCUCUCCUUCUGCAACGCCCCUUUCGCUGCCCUUGAUCAACUUGAUGGAUUACGCUCGCUCUACCUUUGACUUCGCCACAUUGAGAGGCCCUUGGGUUUGAGUUCUCCGCUGGUCUAGCCAUCUUUACUUUCAACGCCUUUUCCUGCGAUGAAUCCAUCCCCUUCGAUGAGUGUGAAUACUGCGUUGAUUCCCUGUUACCGUGUCCCGACUUGUUCAGUCACUUCAACAGCUUCCCCGAGACAGCGUGCGGAUCCGGUUUAUGAGUGGUAGCAGCAUCGGUACAACUCGCUCCAAGUGACGUGGUUGAGGAGCUCUAUCACCUUGGCUGCUGCCUCUUUCGGAUCAUCUUCUUCACAGAGGAGGUGUCCAGCUUUGAUCGGGAUCACAAAGUUCCCAACUAAAAUGGAGUUAAGUGACAUAAGAAAGAGGCAGGGCUGACGAGCUCCGGCGCCACUUUUCCGAGGCAGCCAAAGGUGGUAAGCAGCUUGUCACUGGUAGGAGGAACGGUGGCCCUUAGAGUUUGCUCAGGUCGUUGUGGCGAGGGCUUCUCUAGGUAUCUUCGUGAUACUCAUGCUUUAAGUUUGUGGUGGUCAUUUUAGCGAGAAAAAUCGGAACGAGAGAGAGAUGAUGGUGGCACUGGUAAAAAAUGAGGAUAAGCCAUCAACAAGCGCAGGAGUGGGGGAAAAACUUGUAUCCCUUAUUUUUUCAAUUUUCCAAAUUUCACAUAUCCUAUCUAGAUCUAUAUCACUUUUUAGAUGGGAUUUUUUAUCCAGACUAUAUCUAAAUUUCACUAACAUCGGGACCCCUAGAGUGCCAAAAGUUUGCACAAAAAGACAAUUAAGUGUCAAAAGUUAUGAAAAUGACACUUAAGUGCUAAAAUUGGAAUAAAAUAGAUCACUUAAGUGCAAAUCUGGUCAAAAUAUUGACAUGACAAUUUUCCAGCAAAACAAGUGCAAAACGGUGUCGUUUUGGUGCUGACAUGGAAAAAAUUAAUACAAAAAUUAAUUAAAUGAAAUUUAAAAUUAAAUUUAAUUAAAACAUUUAAAAAUAAAAAUACAAAAAUUUUAAAAAAGGAGAGAGGCGGUUGAGGGCUGAGCCCUUGUCGCUAGGAAGGGUCGGAGAUGGAGGGGGGAGGGUUAGCCGGGGUUGCCGGGCCCUAGGCCAGGGGCCGGCGACCUCGGCCAACUGGUGGCAAGGGCCCGCGAGCCCUCGCCUAGUUUUGGGGCGAGGGUUGCGGCCCUCACCUAGUUGAGCCAAGGGCCGCCGAUCCUCGCAGAAUCUGGGUGAGGGCUGCAACCCUUACUAGAUUUGGGCAAGGGCUCGUGAGCCCUCGCUGCCGGUUAGUUGGGGUCGCUGGCCCCUAGCUAGGGCUCAGCGACCAUGGUUGACCCUCCCCCCUCCGUCGUUGACCCUUCACGGUGACGACAGCGAUGGCUCAACCCUUAGCUACCUCCCCUCCCCCCCUCUUUGUCUCUCUGUCUCUGUCUCUCUCUGUCUAUAUAUAUAAAUAUUUAUGAUUUUUUAAUACUUGUAUUUGUAUUUUUAAAUGUUUUAAAUAAAUUUAAUUUUACAUUUAAUUUAAUUUACAUUAUUUUUUUACCAUAUUAACACCAAAACGACGUCAUUUUUGCAUUGUCUAGCUACGACAGUGUGCAAAAUGAUGCCGUUUUGCACUUACUUCGCCAGAAAUUGCGUACAUCAGAGCCAUGAUUUCGUUUGUAAUAAUAUCCGUUCCAUAUGCUUAAUAGGUGAAUCCAAUGCUGAGAAGGUUUCUUCACAUCAUGACAGAUCUAGAAAUACUAGAAGCAUCUGUUUCUCUUACUGCAUCUCCAUCUUUUUCAACCCCUUCAGAUUUUCAUGUUUUAAAUGCUUCUAAGAUAUACUAUCUCUAUGAAAUCUCUCUUAGCGAUGAAACCAAAAUCUCUGAAACUUAACUUUCCCUGAUGAACUCAUAUUUUGCUUUUGCUAAACCCACCUCAUCCUUUUCUCCCAUUCGUUCCAUUCGCCAACUUAUUCGCCAAACUCCAAAGGAAGUAAAUGAGUACGUUAAGUCCUUCAAGUUCGACCAACAUCCCAUUCUCGCCAUUGAAAAUGAGUACUUUGUUACUCUCUAGAUUCCUCCAGAGUUUCCUAGGCAAUAGAUUCAAAAAGGAUAGUCUCAUGUCCAUUAUGGAGUUGUUCGUCUUGCUCUUACUUUUUAUGGCCGCAAGGGCUUGCCAGUUGUGGCAAGAAUAGCAUUACUGGAUACUAGAUUUCUAAAGUACUAGUAUACUUGUAUCAGUACUAUCCAAACCACUUUAAAUGUUGGAAUAGUUUUUGUGACUUUGUAUCCAAAUUUCAAUUUGCUCUUUCAAAUCCACAGUUACUUUCCUUUUUGAAAGUCUAAGUUUAGCUCACUGGAGCACCUCAGACAGCUGAUUCUGUUGUUGCAACACUACACUACUAGAUCGUUUAUUAAGUGCAGAACCAUGCUCUUGACUUGAAUUUCCACAAUGAAAAUGAAGAUGCUUUAUUCAUCUCCAUGCAAAAUGAUCAUGCAUCCUGCAUUCAUGUUCCCAGACAUAUCCCAAAGGAAAAGUUGCCAAGCUUCUUCUAGAGACUUGGAUCACUAACUAUGAAAAGUUACAUCAGAAUAACAAACCUUUCUAGUCUUCAGACUUUGAAUUUGUCAGAAAGAAAGAUGGAACUGUUUCCAUCAAAUUUGGCAAGGAAAAUAAAGAAAUUCUUUUUAUCUUCCAAAUCCUCUUUAUGAUCGAACCAUGUGUUCCGAGCUAGAUAAAAAAAAAAGAAGCUUGUUUAAUACUUCAAAAGUGAUUAACAUCAUGUCCAUUACUACAAAGACUAGUAUGGUCACUGUUUCUAAGAUCCUUUUUGUCAAUGUUCUUUUUGCACAAACUCUCCCGACGAGGUAGACCCAUAUGCAAGACCUCGACGGAAGCAUAAGAAGCCAAAAGAUCCUAUGUACCAAAGGUACUUGAAUGGAGAUCCCUCCGUUGAUACUCUUGGUGAGUGUGAUAAAUUCUAGUUUAUGGUUUCCUAUACACCAACUCCACCACCAGAGUUCAUUACUCCACUAAUAUCACCAAGUUCAUCACCAUCACCUCCUCCAUCUCCUCCAAAAAAAAAAGAAAACCAACUCUUUCCCCAUUUUAUAAGCCAAUCUUAAAGUGGGCGAAUAAAUAUUCCUACCCACUUGAGGCUCUAGCAGAACACCACCAAGUUCUUUCAUAGCCAUGUUCCAUGAGACAUACUUUCCUCUUUUUAUUCGAGAAAGUUAUAAUCUCGUUUCCUGCUCCAAAAGAAUUCAUUGAUCUACAAGGCAGAUAUCGGCAUGCCCCUAAGAUACCUACCCCCACUGAUGUGGAUGGACAUGGAAGAUAGAAAAGGACUCCUGUUGUUGAAGCUGUCCUAAAUUGGCAAUCGGAAACUCUUUUAGCAUAUAACAAUGCGUUCAAAGCAAUUGAUUCCAAGAUUGUAAAUGUGCAACAAGAUUUUCGAAAUAUGAUGAAACCACCAAGAAGAUGCUUUCAGAUUUCCAAAAGAGGCUUCAUGCCUUGGAAUCUAGAUAACAUUUAGGGUGUCAUCAUCUCGAAAGUCCUAAGGUGGAAAUAGAGAAGCUCAAAAGGCAAAUUCAACUCCUUGAAGAAGGAAGAUUCAAUCCAUUUCCGACUACUUUGCGGACAGAGCAUCCCCCUCUUCCACUAGCCCAUAACACAUCUAUCUUUGUUGCUAUCACAGAUGUUCUUGUUAGGCAAGAUAAGACAAAUGUGGCUGAAAUGCGAAAUCUUCUCAAAGAACUGGACUGAAUAAGAAAAGAAAAGGGAAAAGAGAAGAUGCCUAAAGAAUCCUUGCUUGUCAUAAGGAAAAAGCCAGAUCAAUUGAUGCUGUCGAAUCUAUUAGAAUCUUUCCGAAGAGAUUUGGGUAAUCAGGAAUCACAGUCUGAUCUUGUUACUCAACAUCUUGAUCCCGUCAUUCCAACAGAUCAGAUUCUAUUUUCAGCAGAACUAGCUUUUCCAAAUAUCUUUGAUACUGAAUUAAAUUCGGUAUCCCUCUUGUCCUCCUCAUCCUUCUCAAUCCCUACCAUUGAUUCCUUCCCUAUUGUACUAGUAAUUUCAUCAAUAUUCAUGAUCGAUCAUCCGGACCAAGAUAUGGAAUCAAACCAUUCUGAACCAAAGGUUGUUUAGCCAAACAAUCCCUCCCAGCACGUGUAUUUUGCAUCAAAAUAGUUUAUUUAUUUAUUUAUUUAUCGUUGAUGACAUUCCCUAUCACAAAUGGCCAUAAAGACUUGAAGAAUUUCAUACUUGGUUAAAUACCCAAACCCUUACCAACCAGGAUAAGUAUGAUGUCAUUUUUGAUUUUGUCACAAGGUUUACAGGUAGCCUCAAAUAUUGGUGGCAAUCUGUGUUAGAACAAGACCGGCUUCAAUUUUUACUCUCACUUGAUUUUGGUCAUGCCAUUAUCCUUCUAUAUCAUUUCUUUGUGGGAAAACCUUUUGACCUCCAAGAGCUUAAAAGGAGAGAAUUUUUCGAAAGAAGAUGCUGCUUCUUCCAGAAAAAAACAUCUUGAUAAAUAUUAUCGAGAAAUGUUUAAGCUCUUCUAUGGUAUUGGAGCUGAUCCAAACCAGAAACGCAUCUUCUUGACUUCCAUCCCCAAAGAAUUGUCUCAAUAGGUGGAGAGAACUUUUCUCAGCAAACAAAGAAGGAUUCAGGAUAUUCCGUUAGGAGAAAUCUAACAAGAAAUUCAUUUGUGCCUUGAAGAAUUGUGUAUCAAAUGCCAAAUGAUCCAGACUUAUGUCGACAAUAACAGAGAACUUGAUAUAGCAUGUUCUCGCCAUAAGCUAAAGAUCAAAUGUUCAAAGCGAGAUUGUGAUGGUUCUUGCGGAAAAUUUUCCAGAAAAAAGCACUUCAAGAAGCUCUGGAUAAUGAAAUCUAGGCGUGGCUCUAAGCAUUUUUGAAGAAAGAAGAAAUGGCGACACCUAUGCAAAAGGAAAGAUCACUCAGGCCACAAGAAGUCAAAUCAAUGCUUCAUCUGCAAUUAGAAAAGACAUUUUGCCAAAAAUUAUCCCCAAGCGAGAAAAUGUCAAAAUCAUAUGAUAUAUCAUAUAGAGAAUGAAACAGGUAAUUCUCUUGAAAAUGAUAAUAUCGAAUCUUUAUUAUCUGAGAAUGAAGAACCAUCUGAAUAAACUCUUUGUGUCAUUCCUUGUUACGAAACUUCUAGUGAAAUUGAUUCGGAUUCAAAUCCUGAAGAUAUUUUUCACAUAUCUCUCACUUCUUCAGAAUAAAGCACUAACAUAUUUUCAAGCUAAAUUCAUUGUCCCCAUUUCCCUGUGAAAAUCUUCACUUCAAAGUUUGCCAAGCCUUUCAUUGUCAUUGCUCUCAUAGAUACUGGAGCAAGUUCUUCAAUCUUGGACACCAAAGUUAUUCUUGAAGAAUAUUGGACUUCCUAUGUUUGAUACUUCAAUUCUACCUCAGGAGAUACUUUUUCUACGAAUGUAAGAACUACCCUAGUAAUCAUCUAAUUUUUUCCACAGUGUUCCAUAACCAUAAAAAUCUCUGGUUCCAGUCUUCCCCACAAGGAUUUGAUCAUUGGCUGGGAUAUCAUGACUAAAAUUUCUCAACUUCGUAUCAUUUCUAGAAAAUGUCUUAAGUAUAAGGACUAAUUUUCUAAAUUCGUCAAUAUCCAAAGACUUUUUUUCCAUCCAAAUGAGCCUGCUAGACCCCAUCAUGCAAAAGUUGUUAAAAUCAUGUUUGGAAUUUCAUUUUGAAUUUGCUCAAAAAUGUUCUCACCCUCUAUGGGAAAAUUUAGAGUUCUUUGUUUGCCUUCCUUUUUUAAAAAAAAAUGAGGAUAUCAAUCUAAACAAGGCGAGUUACAUGGGAAUGAAGUCAGAACACUUGGUUUUAACUCAAAGGGAAUGUUCGGAACUAUUGCAGCAAUGCCUUAUUGAAAUCUCCAAUUCUCAAUGGGCCUGUGAAGCUUUUUUAUGUCAAUAAGCGUGCCGAACAAAAUAGAGGAAAUAUGAGAAUGGUAAUUAACCAUCAGCCUCUUAACAUUUUUUUCCAAGAUGAUAAAUUCCCUUUACUCUCCAGAAAUUCCCUAUUUACUAGAUUAUCCAAAGCCCAUAUUUACUCUAAAUUCAAUCUCAAAGCCAGAUUUUGGCAAUUGUGCAUCCAUCCUAAAUACAGACCCAAGAUAGGGUUCUGUAUCAUGAACCAACAUUUCCAAAUGGAAAGUUAUUCAUUUUGGUCUAAAGGUGGUACUAUCCUUAUUCCAAAAGGUCAUGUGUCGAAUUUUCCAACUAAUUUUGUCAAGUGCAGUAAUAUACAUUGACGAUAUCGUGCUUUACAAUCUUAAUGAGCAGUCACACUGCCAACUUCUUAAACAGUUUGUAGAAAUUGUGUAAAAGCAUGGGAUCAUGCUUUCUCAAAAAAAGAUGAACAUUGUCCAUAUAUAAAUUGAAUUUCUUGGUAUGACCUUAACAAAGGUAUGUAUUAUCCAUGGCCAUAUAUUGCUCAUGAAUUGUUGAAAUUUCCUGAGGAAAAUUUCACAACAAAGCAAGUUCAGCAAUUUCUUGGAAUAAUUAAUUAUCUCAAAGAUUUCGUUCCAAACAUUGCAGAACUGUUGAUUCCAUUGAAAUUGAUGCUGAAAAAGAAUCCCCCACCUUGGAGAAAAUCUCAGACUAAAGCAGUCGUCGAACUUAAGGAGAUUAUGUAGACUCUUCCUCUGUUACAAAUCCCAUCGAUAAGGAAGAUAAUUCUCUAGAUCGGCGCCAGUGAUGAAUACUGGACAGCCAUCUUGUUUGAAGAAAUUGAUGGUAAGAGACAUCUGUGUACCUAGAAAAGUGGAAAAUUUUCCCAAGCUGAAAUGCAUUAUCAUUCCACUUUCAAAGAAAUCUUGGUGAUGAAAAAUGGAAUAAAAAAGUUCGAAUUCCAUCUCAUUGGCCAUCACUUCAUGGUAAAAUUGGAUAUCCUCAGAUGAUCAAGUUCAAACAGAAGCAGAUUUCGAAUUUUCAACUGCUUCAAUGGGCUGAAUGAUUUUCAAAAUACUCUUUUGAAACCAAACAUAUUGCCGGAAAAAAAAAUGUGCUUGCUGACUUCUUGUCAAGACCAAAAGCACCAGUAAAAAUCAACAUGUACAUCAUGAGGCAUGCUUUUCAUAUUCUUCAUAACAAUGAAAAGUAUAAGAUUGAAAGAAUACAAGACUAGUCAAGCUGGCAAUAUUACUAGGAGAUUGUGGAACAAAUCUAGAAUGACUGCCUUAUUGAAAAUUUGGAUAAUCUCAUGUGGCAAUUCCACACAGAUCUGUUUAGAUUUAAUGGGGGUUCGAUUCUUUAUCUUUUUAGAUUAAAUUCAGACUAUCCGUUCAUACAUCCUUUAAUCUGGAAGGAAGAUAAUUUCCCUGACCAACUUCGAUGGUUAUUAUGGUACUUAACCAAUAAGUACUGAAUAGUAUUGAAAUUCCAACUAGAAGAUUUAUUACCAACCUCACUAGGAUAUUUAGACUUGGCAGAUGAAACAUUGAAAAAGAGAGUGACAGAAAUCUCAUAGGUUUCCUUAAUUGGUUUUAUCCCUCUACUCACUGGAAAUACCUCUUGCAGAAAGAGCUGAGAACCACACAACUAAACCCUGAGGUCCAUAUUAUUUUGUUUUUUCGACGACCGUGGGCUUUUGUCACAAAUAAUGGUAGCAGUAGCAAUGCCCCCCAAAUUAUAGGUACCACAUCCUAUAAACCUCAACCACAUAGUGUAGAAGCUCAGAUUUACAAAUCUUAUUUAGAACCCGUUGGUUGCUACGAGCACCAGUAUCGAGAACUCCAAAGGAUUUUGUACUAGGAAAAUAAAAUCAUUCCUAAAGAUGCAUGGAACUAUAAUGUACCCACUGUAUGAGAUUAUUAUAGUCUCACACUAGAAGUUAAGGAAGCACUCGAAAUAUUCAGACAAGUUACAUCAUCACAGGAGCAUGAAAUGGCAGACACAGAUGACAUCGCACAGUCCUCUCAAGAUCCCUAUGUCAAAUGGGGAGGUCCUCUUUCUCAAGAUCCCUAUGACCAAGAAACUUUGUCCUUAUCUCAAAGCAUUGACACAUCCUACUAUACUCAGUCAUCCAAUUGGUCUCAGCUAAGCAUUCUUGCCAACACUACAGGCUCCUCUUAGAAUCAAGCGAAAGCAUCCUCGUCAAAUCAAAUUCUCUCACCAGAUUCACUUGUAGGACUUGAGAAAAAAAUAUGAAGAAUAGCUUAUGUCAAUGUAUAGUUCGGACGACUCAGACUAUGACUAUAAUGCUCGUGAUGGACGAGACUAUUGACCGUACAAGUCACUGUAGCAAGUCACUUUUCACUUUCAUUGUAGCAGUAGACUAGGGAAAUAACUGUUCAUUAUCAAUGUUCAUAUCGUGCGAAUAAUCUCCUAUGCCUUUAUUUGUUUCAAGAUUGUGAGAAUGAUCCUUGUUUAUGUGUGACCUCUUAUUGCCUAUAAAAGACAAGAAUGAUGUAAUGUGUUGGGCAGAGUCCCUUGAAGUAAAGUGAGUAUUUUGUGUAAAACUCUCUAUGGCUUUAUAAACUUAUCUUCUUCUCCAGUCUGGUAGGAUCAUUUGAGAAAUGUAGUUCGGAUAGUUAGAAAUGUUACCAUCCUGGUUCUAUAUGAGUGUUUCUAGACUCUGAACUAAAGGGAAGAGUGGUUUUAUGUUAAAAGGCUGUCUCUGAAGGGCUUGAACGGAAGAGGUUCACCUACUGUGGGGUAUGCCAACUUUUGGCACUUGAAAUAAUCUUUUGCCGAAUUUCACGUUACUCUAAACACCGGAUAUGAUCAAACUUUUACUAUCAAAGUUUUAUCUAGCCCAUCAAAGGCAGUCUUAUGAGAUAGGAUGCAAUGAUAUAAUCUAUGAAUUAGAUCAAACAUUUAUUAAAAGUUUAAGAACGAUAUUUCAUUUUUUGAAUGUUAGGAUGCACGAGUAAGUUAUGUUAAAACAAUCCCACAAUAUAUUGAUAGCUUUGAAAUAAGGCUUUCUCUUGGUGAUGACGAAGAUCCAUAUGGAGAAAUUAAUGGGAGGGUUUGUUUGGCCUAACUAAAUGAGAGGCUAUAUCAGUGGGAGGUUUUUCAUUGUAACCUUGUGCUUGGUAUUUGUAUUUUAGUAAAGGAUUUUGUUAGCAUAAUAGUUUCUGAGUUAUUGUGAGAAUAACAACUUAUUAUGAGUUACAAAAUUUUCUCUUUCUUUUUUUCUUCACUUCCUUCUCCUUCCUCCAACCAAUCAUCACUAGUGAUUGGCAAGAGGCAAGGUUGGUGAGGUACCUCGCUGGUCUCGAGGAAGCUUGACCAUGGUUAGGCAACCUUGCUCAUGGCUAGGCGACCUCGCCUAGGCCGCCAACUGGGCUGGUGAGGGUUGACCCUCGACGGCCAUGGGUGAGGACAAAUGCCGCUAGUUGGGCUUGCGAGGCUCGCCCUUAUUGAAUUUGGCGAGAGUUGAGUCUCAUUGGCCAUGGGUAAGGUCAAAGGCCGUGACCUCACGUGGUCUUUGGUGAGGCUUGCCAAAGGUUGGGCAAGGCUCACCGUCGUUGGACUGAUGAGGGUCGAGUCUCGUCGGCCAUGGGUGAGAUUGCAACUUGCCCAUGGCCGGCGAGGUGAGCCUAGGCCAAAGGCAGGCGAGACCUUGCCUAACCAUGGCGAGGGUGGCCUCACCAUUGUUGGGUGAGGCUCACCCUUGCUAGUGGUGUGUGGGGGUAAGCCUUGCCAUUGGUUGGCGAGGCUAACCUUGCUGGCUUGAGUAAAAUAAAAUAUUAUUAAAAGAUUAUCUACAUCAAUAUUAGUUGGACGAGCGGUGUUGGUCGGCCAAAAUUUCUGAAUGAAUUGAAUAGUAUAAUUGCAAAAUGUUUGGGAUUGAAUUGGCUAAAAAAAAAGGUCUAAGUUUGAAUUGGAAAAAUUACAAUAAGUUUAUGAUUGUUUUGGUACGUCCUCCCUAUAUGGGAAGGAUCGUGACUAUGCUUCAAUUGAUGUAAGCAAGUGCAUCUUCACAGCCACUACCGCUCCCCUCCUACUCUUUGUAGCUUAUGCUACUCCCCUCUUAUAAAUCUCGGCUCGCCUGACGCCUUCGCCAUUGUGUAGGGAACGAGCGAGCUCGAGCUAGACCACAGUAAUGGCGGCAUCGACAAUGACGAUAAGGAGGAUCAAGUUGGGGUUGCAGGGCCUGCAGGUGUCGGUGCAAGGGCUGGGCUGCAUGGGCAUGUCCGCCUUUUACGGGCCACCCAAGUCGGAGCCCGACAUGAUCGCCCUCAUCCACCAUGUCGUCGGCUCUGGCGUCACCUUCCUUGACACCUCCGACAGCUACGACCCCCACACCAAUGAAAUCCUCCUUGGAAAGAUCGGUUCUCUCAGUCUCUGUUUUGCCUUCGCAUGAACUAUAUGUGCUUAUAAUGUUACGGAAUGUAGCUUCAUCGAGCAGAGUGCUUUGAUCCUGCGCCUUGGUUUUCUGAUUUCGGGGUUGAUUUUGAGCAGGCACUAACGGGAGGGGUGAGGCAAAAGGUGGAAUUGGCGACCAAGUUCGGAAUCAGCUUCGCGGAUGAGAAGAAAGAGGUCCAGGGCGAUCCGGCAUACGUGAGGGCGGCUUGCAAUGCCAGCUUGAAGCGACUUGACAUCGAUUGCAUCAACCUCUACUACCAGCACCGUAUCGACACUCGCGUCCCCAUUGAAGUCACUAUAUGGAUCCCUUAUCAAACUUUCACCUCGCUUGAGACUUUCUCCGAGCCAUAUGAUUAGUUGCUAAAUUAGAUUGGUGUUGAUGAUGCAUCGUCAUGUUGUUACAAGUUUGUUGAAUUUUGUUAAAUGACACUUAAGUUCAGCUGAUAGCAAAGCUCAAGAUGCGGCACGGUGUUGUUCAGGGGUUGUGGAAUUUAGUAGUUUAAUGGCUUGAGUUUUCGUUUUGUGGGCAUCCUUUACAAGUUAAGGGUCAACAAGCAUGAAAAUCAUUCGAAAUCUUCCUUACCUUUGAGAUGAAAGUGCUCCGGGGUUCAUCCUGAUUUUUUUUUUUUUUGGUGGUGAAAGUAAGUAAUUGUAUUAAGCUUUGCCAACUAUACAAGAUGAAAUCUUGGCACCAAAACUUGCACUCAGAAUGACAUGACGUCAAUGCGAGUGGAAGGAUGCUGAGAUGAAAAAUAGCAAGCAAUAAACGGUGUUGACACCUAAAUUUUGGCGAUCCGAUUAUUUAUUUAUUACAUAAAAAUUAUGGGUCAAUUUGUCUCUUAAAAAAUAUUAAUUACAUAUAGAUUUAGGUGCAUUUAUUUUUAAUUUAAUUUUUUUGUAUUUUAUUGGAUCGAUGGUGGAUGGAUUCAAAUUAAUGGUUAUGAAUUUUAAAUUGACAAAUCGAACUAAGUUCACGAAUAUAAGAAAUUGGCGCAAGCCCGUAUUUGAAAAAAUUCUAUUGUAAUUUUUGAAAAAUCAAUAGAAAACAUUCAUUUUUGCAAAGGAAAUCAAGAAGAGCUGUGGAAAAUAAAAAGUGAUAUUACGUGCGGAAAAGAAAUCUUUGCAGAUGUUGAUUUAAAAAGGAAAUUAAAAUCCUAAUUUUUGGUCUAUAAAAAAGUAACUUAGUAUAGGGUUUUGGGGAGGCUACACAUGGAAUACACAGCCAGUGGAGGGCGAAAUUCGAAAAAAUUUGGAGAGCAAACGCGAGGGGGCUUUUUCCUUCGGUUGAUUGGAGUUGAGAAUUCAAGAAAAAAGAAGAAGAAAGAAUUCGUUUGUUUGUGAAAAAAGGCAGCAAAAGUGUGCAGAAAAAAAGGAAGAGACAGAGACGGGACAGGGAAGAGUGAUGUGAGAGAGAGACGUGGAGUAGAAUAAAAAAGAAAAAAGAAAGUAAAAACAGGGAAGACUGUUCAUCCUCGCAAGCGCCUCAACCGCUGUCGCCGAUCCCUUUCGCCCGCACCGGCCCGCGACCUGCAGCCGCCGCGCUCCGUCGCCGCCUCACCCGAGCCGCCGACCACCACCGCUCGCUGCUCACACUACCGCUGUCCCGAUCUGCCCGCUCGAGCGUCCCUACGCCGGCAGAUCUGAGCUGCUCGCCACUCCACCGCCGCGCGAGUUCCCGCACCGGUCCGCGCCUCCUCUGCUGCUCGUGCCGUGCCACCACCAGGGUUCCUCUCGCUCGCGAGCUCGCACCGCCGCCCCGCUGUGCUGAUCCGCGACGACCCGACGCUCCGCUGCUGCUGCUGCUGCACCUUCGCAGGUCACCCCACCAGCACCACCGUUCGUCGCCCUGGCUGUAGGCGCGACGACUCGACACCGCCUCUGCUCAGUCACUCCUUCACCCGCUCCUGCUGCAGCACCAGUCGCUGCAACCUCCGCCGUCGCUCUUGCAUCCGACCCGACGCCAGCAGCAACGAUCCAGAUCCGGCGCCUGCUGCAGCCACAGCCCGACGCCGCUCCUCUGCCCGCGACCCAAGACCGGACGCCCAGGUCCGACGCCCUGCAGCUCCCUCUCUGAGUGACUCCCGCGACUUCCCUCACCGGAGCAACCCACCACGUUGCUGCUUCGCUUGAAAAAAAGAAAAAGAAAAAGAAAACAAAAAAAGAAAAAUCAAUUUAGGUAAUUUUUCCUUUUAUUUAUCUAUCUUAUUUUAUUAUUUUUGUUAUUUAACUUUAUUUGUUCUUUUUCAGUAUAAUUAUUCCUUAGUGUAAGGAUGAGAUGUUCGACAUGAAAUAGCCUGUGAAAUUUGUGAUUGUCAGUCCGAUUUUCACGCCUAAAAUCCGACUUGCAAUCACUUAAAAAAAAUCGCUAAUCCGAUCUUCCGCCUAAGAUUCAAUUCGCGAUUUAUGUGAAAUUGACCAACUCGAUUUCAUGCGCGAGAUAUAAUUCGUCAAUUUGGAUAUCAUCUUGCUCCGAUUUGUUGUCGUGUCAUUUAAUUAAAUUUGCUUUCAUAAAAAAAAAAUGUAGGUUAGAAUUAGGUUUAUUCCCUAUUUUAGGGUUUACAUAUUUAAAAUAUGAAUUUUAUUUCGAAUUUUUUUUUAAAAAAUAAUAAUAAAUUAAAAAAUCAAAAAUCAAAUCAAUUAAUUUAGGUUGCUAGUUUUUUUUUUUUUUUUUUAAAACUUGGAUUGCAUGUUUAAUUGUUUGGCAAUUAUUAAUUUCGAAAUUAAUAAAACAAAAACGCAACAAAAAAUCAUCAUGCAUAUGUCAUAUAGAAUUAGGGCAUCUUUUGUAUGUCAUUGCAUAUUAGGGUAAAAUUGCUAAUAUUUUUCUUAAUUUAUUAUAAGUUUAGGUAUUUUCUUAGAUAGAUUGCAUUUUAGGAUUGCUUGGGUUAGGAUAAUAUUCUAAUUUAAAUUAGGAUUUGGCUUAACCUAAUUCCUAAUACAAAUUGAAUAGAAUCUUAAUCUAGUUAGAUAAUUUUCACAUUUAAUCUAAUUUCGAAUUUCAUGAAAAAUACAAAAAAAAAGUCUUAGAAUAAAUUGGUUUUAUUCUCUAGGAUAAAUUGCAUUCUCUUUAAGGAAAAAAGAAGAAAAAUAUCAUGUGCAUGCCAUAUAAGAUUAGACUCAUGAGAUGCAUACCAUUUAGUGAUUGUUGCUAGUCCAUUUAAUUAGAAAUUGCAUAUCAUUAGAAUUAGGUCAUUUAGUUAUAUUGCAUUGCAUAUUAUAUGAUUUUCAUUAAAUAAGUGAAAAUAAAGAAAUUGCGUAUUGAUUAGAAAUUAUAUUUAAAACCGUCGAUGUGAAUUUUGAUAUAACAUUGUAGAUGCUUUCGUUGCUAUGAAAUGACUAUUACAAUUUAUUCAUUAUUUAUCUGGGUGUUAAAUUGGUGGUUUGCGCACUCAUAUGAUCACUUCAUAUGUUAAAAAAAUAGAUUUAAAAUCAAUCCAAAUUGCAUGUAAAAACAUUUUUGAAAAUAAAAAGAAGUGGUACCGAAAGGGUAUUAGAGAAUCUAGCAUAAUUAAGUCUCUGAACUCAUAAAUCUCUAAUUCGUAGGAGUGAAGUAAAUCUCCCGUUACUUUAUUUGAAGAUUAAUGGCGACUCCUAACUGAAAUAUCGUUUGUAUGUUAAGAACUUAAACCCAAGUUGCAAAUUGGUAUGGCUUGGGAGAGCUUGAGUUAGGUCUAGGCUUAACAAUUCAUUAGCCAAACCUUAGGUGAUACACACCUGAAAAUUUGGUCGCGACAAAUGGUAACAGCCACCACACAGCAAAGAAGAGCCAAACAACGGCCACCACUAGCAACCAAAGCAAAAAACAAAAGGCAACCGAGGGAUCAAACAGACGCAGCCAGAUCACCCCAAGCACCAAACCAAAAAGGGAAAGGCACAGUUCAAGCGUCCCAGUUGAGAGAAGCCGUGACCGACACGAACCAGGGGAGGAGGAAUCUUCAGUGAAACAGCCAACCCCAAGGACCUCGGCGGUAGCUCAGCACAAGAAUGUCCACCCUAGAAGGGUAUCCAGUUAGAAGGAGAUGGAUGAUGGAACAACCAUUCUCAAGGAUCGAACUCGCCGCUGAAAUAGCAGCUACAUGGAAAUCAGCUUCGUAGAUUUGAUCAAGAAUCACCUAAAGAGAAAACAAUCGGAUCAAUGCCCCAGGCACGCUGGAGUAUCCUGUUCCUCGCGGUACUAUCGACAUUUCUGAAAGUUAGAGCCUUAUCCCGGACAACCCUAAGGAGAUGGUUCUUCAGGGCCGGGAUCGUAGGAGUUAGCUCUCUAAACAAAAUAUCAUUCCUGUUCUUUCAUAUAAUGUGACAGAGGGCUCCAAGGGGUUCAUCCUGAAUUUAUAUACAGGAAUCACAGAUAAAGUUGUUCCUGGACUUUAUGCGGAGACAUUUGAUUCUUGACAUAUUGUGAAAUAUGACAAGUACUUGGAAUACUUCUUUUAUUUGCUCUCUUCUGUGAGAGAUUCAGGAAAUCUACCUCCGUUAACUCAAUACCUUGUGACUUUUUUGUUGCAUUGUGAUGCAUGAUAAUUGAGGGAUCUAGACACAUAAAAAGCUAAUGCCAUGCAUAAUUUUCUGGAUCUUAACAUGUAAGAUCUUUCGUCCAAAAAAAAAAAAAAACAUGUAAGAUCUUGAUUUUGUUGUUUUGUCAUGUGAAUAUGCAUAGAUCGGAGAGCUAAAGAAGCUCGUGGAAGAGGGUAAGAUAAAGUACAUCGGUUUAUCCGAGGCCUCUGCCUCAACAAUCAGAAGAGCACAUGCUGUUCAUCCCAUCACAGCGGUGCAAUUGGAGUGGUCGCUUUGGUCAAGAGAUGUGGAGGCAGAGAUCGUUCCAACGUGCAGGUAGGAUAUCACUCUGUUAAUUGUUUAUGCAGCAACAACAGCUUCCUUCUGACUCUGCUUUUCCUUUAAAAUGUUGACUAGGGAGCUUGGCAUUGGAAUUGUUGCCUACAGUCCUUUAGGACGAGGAUUCUUUUCUGUUGGCUCCAAGUUGGUGGAGAAUAUCUCUAAGGAUGACUUCAGACAGGUCUGUUCCUGCUUGUCAACAUAAUUAGAUGCCAGUAUCGGGCUUUGGCCCUCCGUCCUUUUUCAUUCUCAUCUUUCUUCACAAGAUAAACUAUAUCUUGACACAACCAUUUCUUGAGUAAGGACUCCUAGCACCCUUCUUAUGAGAGUUUUGGCUCAAGUUCCCAUCUGACAUAAAGCCAAUUGUGUAUUACUCCCCGCCAUUAGCGUUUGACUAGCGAUAGUGCUGGGCAAGUGAAGUAGCUAUUUUUUUUUUUUUGUAGCUAAAAGAGCUUUGCGUCUGAUAACGUUCUUCUACACAUCAUCUACAUUUCUGAUUUUUAUUUUAUGUGUGACUCAGGAAAAUGAUAAUUGCUCAUAUGCUCUCUGCUGAGACAUUGCUCUAUGUUAUGCAGUAUCUACCAAGGUUCCGGCCAGAGAACUUGGCUCACAACACGAAGUUAUUUGACCGAGUGAAUGGAAUUGCACAAAGAAAGGGAUGCACCACAUCGCAGUUAGCCCUCGCCUGGGUACACCACCAGGGUGAUGAUGUUUGCCUGAUUCCCGGCACGACCAAGAUCGAGAAUUUCAACUAGAACAUUGGAGCUCUGUCAGUGAAGCUUACACCGGAAGAGAUGGCCGAGCUUGAAUCGAUUGCUUCUGCAGACAGUGUCAAGGGUGGCAGGUACGAUGGAAGCAUGUCUACAUGGGAAAACUCCGACACUCCACCCCUUUCUUAAUAAAAUUAUGUGUUUUUCUAGUAAGGGAUGUUGCGAAAACUUUAUUGUCUUUUGCAUGCGUAAUUAUAACUAUGAGUGUAACUAUGCGUAAUUACAACAUGUGGCGUCACACAAUCCUCAGCACUUGAAUUGGGGUCUAUCAAGGUAGUGCUUGAGUCUAUGAUGCUCAAGCUCUAUUCAAUAGCACUUAGGCUCGGGUCCGCAAAGAUUGUGCAUCAGUCCUCAAUGCUUGAGGUCGGCUCGUUAGUUAAUAAAACGUUUGUUCUUAUAAAAAUAAUUAUUUUUAAAAAAUCUAUUUUUUUAUAUUAUUUGUUUUCUUUCUUUUUAUUUUCCUUCUUCUCGGCUAGUUGCCAACCAUGGCGCCGAUUGCGCCUGAUAACAAGCACCGGAUGAGCUAGCCCAAGGCCAAGAAGACUUGAGAUUGCUGAUUUGGCAAGCUUGAAGCUGGUCAAGUGCAAGCUCGAGUUUCGCCCCGUGGCUAGUCGCCAACUACCACCGUGGCUAGCGUUCGGUCGAGGAAGAAGAAAAAGAAAAAUAAGUAAAAAUCUGAAUAUUUUGUAAUCUUCUAUAGGGAAAUCAAAUAAGAUUUUUCAUAUUAAACGAUAAAAAAUAUUUUCUAGUUUAUUUUUAAGACUUAACCAAAUAUUGAAAAUGACUUUUUGUAAAAUAUUAUUCAAAUAUGUCAUAUUUUUUGCGAAACAAACGGUACAUAAAUUUAAAUUUGAUAAUUGUCCUUGUUAAUUUGGUACACAUUAUCUGUCUCUUUGUUUUGUUGCUGAACUGAUGCUAAUCUCUAGAUGAAGCUUGACUAGUUUCAAUAGGCGGCUUGACUUUUGCGCUUCCUUUUUUUUAAAACCCAAAACACUCAAAACUUUCGUGAUACACGACUUUCGACAUGCAGAGUUACAAUCACUUCAAAUAAUUUAUCUGAAAAUUGUAUAGUGGGCCAUCCGAGAAAGGUGAGGGCAACUUGUCCCCCUAGAAAUUGUCAUGACGUGGAACUCUUGACAUGAAUUGAAGUGACUUUUGUUAAGAGUUAACUAGUCAAGAUCGGGCCACAUCUGUCCAUUCAUGUCCGCCACAUCCGGCCCCUCCAAUCGGACUCCCCGGCGAAAAGAUUCACGGACACGUGGCUGGAUCUAGAAAGUCACGGGUUUGACUUGUCUUUUGUGUCACUAUCAAGAAUGUGCAUGGUCCGGACGGGCGAUUCCCGACCUAGAAUCGGGAACUGCUUGCUAAGGACCGAUUCCAAAACAUUGAAACGGAGAUCCACCAGUUAGUUGAAUGAAUCCACUUGGGAACCAGAUCGCUGAUUCAGUCCGAUUUCUAGGUGGAUCUAUGGAACCGAUCUUGACGCUAAAUAAUUUUAUUUUCAAUAUAGAACGACUACGUGAUUUCCAUAACAACAGCUGGAGAGGUUGUAGAAGGAUAUCAUGGUAGGCACUUACGAUAAUCGUGAGGAAAUGAUAGCAAUUUUGGUUAAACUUGUUUUCUAUCAUGGCUAUCAUGGGUCGAAUAAAAUUUUGCAAGCAAAUUUCGUGUCCUAGGCAUUUUUUUUCUCUUAGGUGUGAUGCUUUAAAAACCCUCUAUGUGAUGCUUAGGAACCUUUGUUUGUGAUGAAGCCUAAAGAUUUAUUCCUUGUUGUGGACUUGUUGUCCUACAUCAAAAUCUCUCAGUCAAACUUUUUUGCUUUGUUUUGGUAAGUCUGUAUAAGGUAUAUUACAGAAGUUGCAUUACGAGAUAUUUCUUCCUUAUUGUCUUUUUAGUUUAACUAAGGCCAAAUUGUUUUGGCAUUUUUCCAAGCAUUUCAUUAUGGAAUGAUGAUAAGAAGCGAUCUUGACUUAAUGCUUUUAGUUAUUUGAUUUGGAUUUAUUAAUUAGUAAUUUCAUUUUUUAAUAUUAAAAAUUAAUAUAUUAUUUUAAUAUAAUCGGUUCGGUCUAGGUGGGCGGGUAGAUAGAUCCGCUCAUGGAACUGGGAACCAGACUGGUACUCACCGGUUCCCAUAAAUUGGAAUCGAGAACCGGACCGGUUCCCUUAAAAACUACCGGUUCUGGGCGGUCCAAGCGGGUUUCGGUUAUUUUGCACAAAGAAUUAAAAAUUCAAUUUUUUUUAAAAAUAUUUUAAAAAGAAUUAUAAAAAUUUUCAUUAAAUUUGUAUUGCAUAAAAAUGUUUUAACAAUACUUUUUUUUAAAUAAAAAAAUCAUAAAAACGAGCUUUUUAAGGGUUAAUUAUUUUUUUUAUGUUAUUGUUUUUAGUUAUUCAAAGGUAUGUUUACUUCAAAUAAGGGAAGCAUGUGCAUAGUUUAAUUCUUUAUAAAUAUUUAAAUGUUUUUUUAAACUUUUCUUAUUUUAUUUUAUUUUCUAUUUUUAAUUUAAUUUGAAGAUUUAAUCUAAUUAGCAUAUAAUAGAAGUGGAUUUUCCUAAAAUAUUAAGAGGUUUUAGCAAUACGAGUUGGAUCGGGUAUGUGUCGGGUAUAUAUGAAUAUGGAUCAGAAUAAGUUAAAUAGAUCAAAUAUGAGUUCAUUCGUUUUCGACCGGACUCAAAUCCGGCUUGAUCCGGUUUCGACCCAACCCAAAUCCGACUCGAUCCACUCAUUUAACGGGUCUAGAUUGAAUUGACGUAAGCACGUGCGUCUUCGUAGCUACUGCCGCUCCCCUCCUAUAAAUCUCGGCUCGCCCGACAUCUUAGCCAUCGUCACGGUGCAGUGCAGGGAACGAGCGAGCUCGAGCUAGACGACGGCAAUGGCAGCGUCGACGACGACGGUGGGGAGGAUCAAGCUGGGGUCGCAGGGCAUGGAGGUGUCGGCGCAGGGGCUGGGCUGCAUGGGCAUGUCCAUCGGCUACGGCCCUCCCAAGCCCGACCCCGACAUGAUCGCCCUCAUCCACCACGCCGUCGGCUCCGGCGUCACCUUCCUCGACACCUCCGACAUCUACGGCCCCCACACCAACGAAAUCCUCCUCGGAAAGGUCGGUUCUCUCAGUCUCUCUUUUGCCUCCGCAUGAAUCAUACGUGCUUAUAGUGUUACGGAAUUCAGCUUCAUCGAGCAGGAUGCUCCGAUCCUGCGCCUUGGUUUUCUGAUUUCGGGGUUGAUUUUGAGCAGGCACUGAAGGGAGGGGUGAGGCAGAAGGUGGAAUUGGCGACCAAGUUCGGAGUCAGCUUCGCGGACGGGAAGAGGGAGAUCCGGGGCGAUCCGGCGUACGUGAGGGCUGCUUGCGAGGCCAGCUUGAGGCGGCUCCACAUCGAUUGCAUUGACCUCUACUACCAACAUCGCAUCGACACUCGCGUCCCCAUCGAAGUCACUGUAUGGAUCCCACAUCAAACCUUUACCUCUCUCGGGACUUUCUCCGAGUGAUCAGUUGCUAAAUUAGAAUGGUGUUGAUGAUGCAUCAUCAUCAAGAUAUCGUUAAAUGUGACUUGAGUUCAGAUGAUAGCAGAGUUCAAGAUGUGGCACGGUGUUGUUCAAGGGAUUGCGGAAUUUAGUAGUUUAUAUGGCUUGAGUUUUUGUUUUAUGGGUCAACAAGCAUGAAAAUUAUUCGAAAUCCAGGGUUCACCCUGAUUUAUAUCUGAGAAUCACAUUUGAAGUUGUUCCUGGACUUUCUGCGCAGACAUUUGGUUCUUGACUUGUCAUUGUGAAAUAUGACAAGUACUUGGAAUACUUCUUUAAUUUGCCUUCUUCUGUGAUAGAUUAGAGAGAUCCAUUUCCGUUAACGAUACCUUGCCAUUUUCUUGUUGCAUUGAGAUGCAUAAAGAUUGACUAUUUUUUGCUAGGAGCUACCUAAUCAAAUUGUAAUGUUUGAGAAGUCAGGGAACACAAACUAUUCAGGCAUCAGGACACAAGAAAAACUAAUGAUGUUCAAUAACUUCUGGAUCUUAACACGUAAGAUUUUGACGAUUGUUGUUUUGUCAUGUGAAUAUGCACAGGUUGGAGAGCUAAAGAAGCUCGUUGAAGAGGGUAAGAUAAAGUACAUCGGUUUAUCCGAGGCCUCUGCAUCAACAAUCAGAAGAGCACAUGCUGUUCAUCCCAUCACAGCAGUGCAAUUGGAGUGGUCGCUUUGGUCAAGAGAUGUGGAGGCAGAGAUCAUUCCCACGUGCAGGUAGGAUAUCACUGUUUAUUUGUUUAUGCAGUAACAACAUCUUUCUUCUGACUCUGCUCUUCCUUAAAAUGUUGACUAGGGAGCUUGGCAUUGGAAUUGUUGCCUACAGUCCUCUUGGACGAGGAUUCUUUUCUGUUGGCUCCAAGUUGGUGGAGAAUCUCUCUAAGGAUGACUUCAGACAGGUCUGUUUCUGCUGGUUAACAUAAUUAGAUGCUCACAGUUACUGUCAUUCCCAUUGAAGUGCUGGAAACCUGUUCUUAUUCUAUAAAGAAAAAGUUUGUGACACGAAUGCUUCAUAUUCUUAUUCGAUCCAGCACUUGCCAGUCAUCCCACCUCUCGUGAUUCUAGAUAAAUUUAAAAAUCACAAGUAAUGGCUUUAAUGAGCCUGAAAGGGGCAGUUUUCUGGAUUCUCGUGCUUUUGGGAAUGAACAAAUAUAGGUUUAUUUGUAAGUUGCUCCGUUUCCCAGCUUUCCCACCAUUUGCUUAUCACUAUCCUUUCCCCACUUUCCACCCGCCCUUUUUCUCUCAUAUCUCUUCACAAGAUUAGCAAUAUUUGCUCAAAAUAACCGAGACCAGUAUCGGGCCUUGGCCUCCGUCCUUUUUGUUUCUCAUCUUUCUUCACAAGAUAAAUUAUAUCUUGACACAACCAUUUCUUGAGCGAGGACUCCCUAACACCCUUCUUAUGAGAGUGUUGGGAUCAAGUUCCCAUCUGACAUAAAGCCAAUUGUGUAUUACUCCUGGCCAUUAGUGUUUGAGUAGCGAUAGUGCUGGGCAAGUGAAGUAGCUAUUUUUCUUUGUAGCUAAAUGAGCUUUGCGUCUGAUAACAUUCUUCUACACGUCAUCUACCUUUUGUGAUUUUUUUUUCUUAUGUGUGACUAAUGUUACCAUCACACGUACAAAACUUAGAUUGUCUAGUUUGUUUCUGUUUUCACUUCCUACAUCAAACCCAUCAGCCUUGUGUGGUAGUUGCUAGAUCACUUCGCUCGACGUUUCUAGUUCUUAUGAUUUGGGGCUAGGUAUUUUAAUCAUUUCAAGAUAAUCAUAACUGAUCAUGCUUUUCCAGGUACACAACAAUUGUGCACUUCUAAAUGCUUAUUAGGUCAAGUAACAAGGCAAUCUGUUGGCAUGCAAUGCGAUCACUUUUGCACCUUGCUGCUGUAGAAUUUGGCCUUAAAAGGAAAAUGAUAGUUGCUCAUAUGCUUUCUGCUGAGACAUUGCUCUAUGUUAUGCAGAACCAACCAAGGUUCCAGCCAGAGAACUUGGCUCACAACAUGAAGUUAUUUGACCGAGUGAAUGAAAUUGCGCAAAGAAAGGGAUGCACCACAUCGCAGUUAGCCCUUGCCUGGGUACACUACCAGGGUGAUGAUGUUUGCCCGAUUCCCGGCACGACCAAGAUCGAGAAUUUCAACCAGAACAUUGGAGCUCUGUCAGUGAAGCUUACACCGGAAGAGAUGGCUGAGCUCGAAUCAAUUGCUUCUGCAGACAAUGUCAAGGGUGGCAGGUACAAUGGAAACCUCUCUCCAUGGGAAAACUCCGACACUCCACCCCUUUCUUCUUGGAAACCUGCCUAGAAACAUGUCUACUUCUGUUGCUGCGUCUUUGAUAUGCAGAGUUUGUGCAUUUGCCGCUGAAGUAAUUUGAGGCUAUGUUGUGUGGCUGUUAUAAGUACGUGUAAUAAGAGAGUGACUGUUUUCGUUUUGUACAUGUGACAUUCACUAUGAGAAGAUUAUGGAUAUGUUCUAAGCUUACUGGGGAAAGAUCACCCGCUAACACGAGAGCAAGUUUUUUAUGAACCGAGCUUGCCGUGCCGACUUUAUCGGGGUGACUUUUAGAAUAUGAGAAAUUGGGAUUUUGAAGAAUUCAAACUCAGUCAUACAUACUAGAGUGAUGCUUUAUUCUCCUCCAACUAGUCUUGGUCCAGUUUCCAGAGAGAUUAGGUCGAUCCUUGGUCCUAGAAUUUCAGGACUAGCACUGUGCGGGUCGAUUCUUAGUCCUAAGAGUUCUAGGUCGGUCCAAUCCAAACCAACCUUAUAUAUAUAUAUAUAUAUUAUUUAUAAUUUUUUUAUAUAGAGAAAACCUUAAAACAAACGGCGUCAAUAACAUUAAAGAGUUAUUUAGUAAAGAGUUCAAGUAAUUUUACAUUGUUCUUUAAUAUUUUAGAUUUUUAAUGUCUUUUACGAUAUUAAUAGUCAUAAUUUACGAAGGAGGAAAUUGUUUUUGUAAGGAGUCCUCAUGAUAUCUAAAAAGGUAUAAAUGGCAUCAUUCUUUAGUAUUCGUUCUCUUUGGUUUUAUUCGUUCUCUUAAUUAUCAAUUUGCCAAAAUUGAAAGAAGCAAUCGCUCACUUUGGGUCACUCCUGCCGCUCGCCGCUUAAUGCUCGCUUGGCUUGUUGCUCCAUGCUCGAUAUUCGAUAUUUAUUCUGUUCGACGCUCACCCCACUUGACUCUCGUUGCUUGCCUUUUUUAGUUGACCUUGCUCAUCAUCGAAUCCAUUAGGUCAAUAUGGUCCUCAGUUGCUUUUUCAAGGAUUACAAAAAAUGAAAUAAAAAAUUAUUAAUUAGUCCUAAGUUGACCUUGAAACCAGACCGAACCCAUUGGGUCCGUUUGAUCUUCAAUCGCUUUUUUAAGGUGUACAAAAAAUGAAAUAAAAAAUUAUUGGUUGGUCCCGGGUUGACCCUAGAACUGGACCGAACCCAUUGGAUCAGUUCGGUCAUUGGUCCUAAGCUUAAUAGGGUUGGUUCUCGGUCCAAAAAACUGAGGACCAGCAUUGUGUGAGUUGGUCAUAGGGUUAGGGGGUGAACCGGCCCAACCUGGACCAUACUCACUCCUACCUCUAACCAUGAGUUCAAUACUAGCACCAUGUGCAACAUACUCUUAGGACUGGAUGCUACACAUAGAUACAACGCUUCGCUUUGUGUUUGGUUUCGUAGCGAAGUAAAGGAACAGUAAAAUGCUAUUGGAUGUUCUCGCGAAAAUGAAGUUUGGGAUAAAAUGUUGGCGCGGUUGAUAUGAGUGUCGAGGAAAUCGAAGGUUUCUUGUUCAAGUUUAACCACCUACGGUUCAUGAGCUUUUAUGUAGCUCAAUACCUUCGCUCAUGCCUCUGCAUUAUUAUAAAACAGUCGGAGAUAUUGCGCAAGUUUCCUAAAAUUAAAAACAACAAUUCUAUUGUUUUUUAUUUGGAGUUAGAGUGGAGCAAUGUCGUUUUGUUUUGAUUUAGGAAAAUAACGCAAAUAGUCAUUGAACUUUGGUCCAAUGUGUUAUGUUCUUAUUGAACUUUUAAUUUAUUUAGUAUGACUGUCGAACUUUUUAUACAUGUUUAAUUUAGAUCCUAGGCUAGAUAAAUCCAACGAUGCUGUGUUUGGUCGUUCGAACAUCUUUGCUGUAUGGGAUAAUGAAUGGAUGAAAAUCCCAUCUAAUAUUUCUUGACGUCUGGAUAUAGCAUGAUUCAAAAUAAAUCUUUUUUUUUUUAAAUGAGUGUUUGAUUUGUAUAAUUAAAAUUAAAAAUAAACCAUGGAAGUCGUGAAUAGUAUUCAUCCUUUCACAAUCUUCAUCGAUAUUAAACACCCCCGUUCCAUGUGACUUCAAGGACGCUCUCUCCUUCUGCAACGCCCCUUUCGCUGCCCUUGAUCAACUUGAUGGAUUACGCUCGCUCUACCUUUGACUUCGCCACAUUGAGAGGCCCUUGGGUUUGAGUUCUCCGCUGGUCUAGCCAUCUUUACUUCGAAUGCCUUUUCCUGCGAUGAAUCCAUCCCCUUCGACGAGUGCGAAUACUGCGUUGAUUCCCUGUUACCGUGCCCCGACUUGUUCAGUCGCUUCAACAGCUUCCCCCGAGACAGCGUGCGGAUCCGGUUUAUGAGUGGUAGCACCAUCGGUGCUACUCGCUCCGAGUGACGUGGUUGAAGAGCUCUAUCACCUUGGCUGCCGCCUCUUUCGGAUCAUCUUCUUCACAGAGAAGAUGUCCAGCUUUGAUCGGGAUCACAAAGUUCCCUACUAAAAUGGAGUUAAGUGACAUAAGAAAGAGGCAGGGCUGACGAGCUCCGACGCCACUUUUCCGAGGCAGCCAAAGGUGGUAAGCAGCUUGUCACUGGUAGGAGGAACGGUGGCCCUUAGACUUUGCUCAGGUCGUUGUGGCGAGGGCUUCUCUAGGUAUCUUCGCGAUACUCAUGCUCUAAGUUUGUGGUGGUCAUUUUAGUGAGAGAAAUUGAAACAAGAGAGAUGAUGCGGCACCGGUCAAAAGUGAGGAUAAGCCAUCAACAAGCGCAGGAGUGGGGGAAAAACUUGUAUCCCUUAUUUUUUUCAAUUUUCCAAAUUUCACAUAUCCUAUUUGGAUCUAUAUCACUUUCUAGAUGAGAUUUUUUAUCCGGACUAUAUCCAAAUUUCACGUUACUCUAAACACCGGAUAUGAUCAAACUUAUCAUAUCAGAGUUUUAUUCGGCCCAUCAAAGACAGACUUAUGAGAUAGAAUGCAAUGAUAUAAUCUAUGAAUUAGAUUAAACAUUUAUUAAAAGUUUAAGAAUAAUAUUUCACAUUUUGAUUGUUAGGAUGCACGAGUGAGUUAUGUUAAAACAAUCCCACAAUAUAUUGAUAGCUUUGUAAUAAGGCUUUCUCUUGGUGAUGACAUAGAUCCAUAUGGAGAAAUUAAUGGGAGGGUUUAUUUGGCCUAACUAAAUGGGAGGCUAUAUCAAUCGGAGCUUUUUCAUUGUAACAUUCCCUUGUGCUUGGUAUUUGUAUUUUAGUAAAAGGAUUUUGCUAGCAUAAUAAUCUUUGGGUUAUCAUGAGAAUAACAAUUUAUUAUGAUUUACAAAAUUUUAAAAUAGUAAACCUCAAUUCAAUUUUAAACUUUUUUUUUUCUAACUAAUUCAAUCCUAAAUAUUUUGCAUUUGUGACAAUUUAGUCUAUUCGGCCAUUUUUCGCCAAGAGGCAUUGAUGUGAACUUUGGCUGAUCGACCAAUGCUGACAUGGACAAUUUUUUUAAUAAUAUUUUAUUUUUCUUAUUUUUUAUUAAUUUUUUCUUUCUUUUUUUCUUCACUUCCUUCUCCUUCCUCCAGCCAGUCGGCAAGAGGCAAGGUUGGUGAGGGACCUUGCUGGCCUUGAGGAAGCUUGGCCAUGGUUGGGCAACCUUGCUCGUGGCUAGGCGACCUCGCCGAGGCCGCCGAUUGGGCUGGCGAGGGUUGACCCUCGUUGGCCAUAGGUCAGGACAAAGGCUGCUAGUUGGGCUUGCCCUUAUUGAAUCUGGUGAGGGUUGAGUCUCAUUGGCCAUGGGCAAGGUCAAAGGCCGCGACCUCUCGUGGUCUCUGGCGAGGCUUGCCAAAGGUUGAGCAAGGCUUACCCUCAUUGGACUGACGAGGGUUGAGCCUCGUCAGCCAAGAGCGAGAUCGUAACUUGCCCAUGGCCGGUGAGGCUCGCCUAGGCCAAAGACAGGCGGGGCCUUGCCUAACCAUGGCAAGGGUGGCCUCACCAUUGUUGGGUGAGGCUAGCCCUUGCCAGUGGCGUGUGGGGGUAAGCCUUGCCAUUGGUUGGCAAGGCUGACUUCACUGGCUUGAAUAAAAUAAAAUAUUAUUAAAAGAUUAUUCACAUCAAUAUUAGCCGAACGAGUGGUGCUCGUCGGCCAAAAUUGGCCGGAUGAAUUGAAUUAGUAUAAUUGCAAAAUGUUUAGGACUGAAUUGGCUAGAAAAAAAAAAGAUUUUAAGACUAAAUUAGAAAAAUUGCAAUAAGUUUAUGAUUGUUUUGGUAAUUUUUUCGUAUAAUAACCCUAGUAAAGAUGACUCACUUAAUUUGAGCGUCAAUAAAUCAAAGGUCACUUGUUUAGUUCUCACAACUUAUUUGUAAAUCACUUUAGAAGUGCAAAUCCAAUCAAUUUAUGAGCUUGCAAAAUGAGUCUCUAGAUAAACCAACUUUUGUAUUCGUGCUUCAGGAUUAUAAUAAAAUAUUAGAGGUUUUCAUCAGUGUAUCAUGAUAGGCUAGAUAGGGCGUUUUCUUUUGCACUUGUCAUACAUGAUCAUUUUGUAUCCUUUGAACUCAUGUUAUUUGUUGGUACUAGGUUGAGUGGUAAUAUGAUCUCCUACCUUAUACUUAGAUAUUUCAUUUAUUAGGCUUCGCCUCACUCCUUUUUUUCUUUUUUUUUCUUUUUUGUUGUAGGAUGAUUCCCCUAAAGAUGGUGACGGAGGGGCCGAGUUGAUAUCGGAAGCCAUUAAUCCUUGAGUUGGAUGGUAGUUUAGUUAGUAUGGAUGUAAUGGUAUUAGGUGACCCCGAUCUUUCCUAGGACUAUAAAAUUUUUUGUGAUAAUUACUAUCGAUAUUGUAUAAAGCCAAAGACACUUUUUUUUUUAAUAAACUCAUGCAUUUUUCUAGUAAAGGAUGUUGUGAAAACUUUAUUGUCUUUUCCAUGCGUAAUUAUAACUAUGAGUAUAAAUGGAAAUGACAUGUGCCGCAUGUGAUGUUCCAAGGCGUCACAUAAUCCCCAACACUCAAAUUAGGGUCCAUUAAGGCAGUGCUUAAAACUAUGAUGCUCAAGUUCUAUUCGGCAGCACUUAGGCUCGGGUCCAACAAGAUCGUGUGUCAGUCCUCAAUGCUCGGGCUCGGCUCGUUAGUUAAUAAAAUGUUGUUCUUAUAAAAAUAAUUCUUUUUAUUUUCAUUUUAUAUUCAUUUGUUUUCUUUCUUUUUCUUUCUCCUUCUUCUUGGCUGGUUGCCGACCAUGAUGACGAUUGCGCCUGAGAACAAGCGAGAGAUGAGCUAGCCCAAGGCCAAGAAGACUUGAGAUUGCUGAUUUGGCAAGCUUGAAGUUGGUUGAUCAAGUGACGCUAAAGCUCCCUAGCGUUGGGCAACCUCGAGUUUCACCUCAUGGCUAGUCGCCAACUACCACCGUGGCGAGCGAUCGGUUGAGGAAGAAGAAAAAUAAAAAUAAAAUUAAAAGAGAAAAUAACUAAAAAUCUGAAUAUUUUGGCAUUUUCUAUAGGGAAAUCAAAUCGAAAAAAUAUUUUCUAGUUUAUCUUUAGGACUUAACCAAAUAUUGGAAAUAUUAUUCAGAUAUGUCAUAUUUUUUGCGAAACAAACGGUGCGUAAAUAUUUAGAUUUGAUAAUUGUCCAUGUUAAUUAGGUACACAUUAUCUCACUCUUUGUUUCGUUGCCGAACUGAUGCUAAUCUCUAGACGAAGCUUGACUAGUCUCAACUCAAUAGGCGGCUUGACUUUUGCGCUUCCUUUUCUUCUUUUCUUUUUUCUUUUUAACUCAAAACACUCAAAACUUUCCUGGUACACGACUGUCGUCGUGUUACAAUCACUUUCAAUAAUGAUGGCCAUCCGAGCAAGAUGAGGGCGACUGGUCCCCCUAGAAAUUGUCAUGACGUUUGACUUUCAUGAAUUGAAAUGACUUUUCUCUGUCAAGGAGAAAAAUAGUUAACUAGUCAAGAUCGUGCCACAUCUCUCCAUCCAUGUCCUCCACAUCCGGCCCCACCAAUCGGACUCCCCGACAAAAAAAAUCGAGGACACGUGGCUGGAUCUAGAAAGUCACAGGUUCGACUUGUCUACUGUUAUCACUGUCCUUUUGCAAUAAUUUUUUUACACCCGUCUAGCUGUUGUGAGCUCCUCUGACAUACUAAUUGUGUGGAUAUGGUGAACUUGGGACCUUCUAUAAUCUGUCCAUAUUAAAAAUUUAAAAUGGACAAAUUCCGCCUCUCAUUGUGGAAUUCCACCCACAUUUCUCGCAAACUUUCAAACAUUAGUUCCAGGUCGUGCAUUCCAAUUGAGCCUUGUCUGGUCAAAUAUCAAAGUACUCUAGAGAAAAAUUUUAAAAAAAAUUGUAAAAAAGAGAGAGAAGGAAAACGAUUCAGCCUUAUAAUAACUUGCUAGGAACCACGUAGUUAAUUAGAGCAUCAAGAAAUUAGAGGUAGCUUGUGUAGUUCUCGCAAGUUACUUGUAAAUUGCUUUAGAAGUACAAACUUAAUUGAUUUAUGAGCUUGCACCAUAUUUUAUGAGUUUCUGAAUAACCAACUUUUGUAUUCAUGCAACUCACUCCGCUGUGACUGAGUUGGUUCGGACGUUCCCUCCUCUUCCAAUUGGGGGGAGGUUUGAGUCACCACGAUUGCAUUUGCGCAACUUAAGUGCGGCGCCAUGAGAGGUGGGUCCCCGUGCUAGCGUCACCGUGGGUUUACGUCGCCAGCUGCCGGUUGUACGGCGAUUCUCAAGUCAUAAAAAAAAAAGAAAAAAGAAAAUUUGUAUUCAUGCUUGUAGAUUAUAAUAAAAUAAUUGGUUGUGGUGGGCAAUUGAGAGUGACACCGUUUUCGCCUUUUAUUUUUUGUAAUAUGUGAAGUGUUGUUCUGUUUUUUGUUUUCGUCACCCUCCCACUUGUGCUAUAUUUGUUAGGUCUCCUCGCCAGGAGUUCGUCACUUUAUGUUAUUGACCUCUUAAUUAAAUACAACAAUACCUUCAAGGACUGCUCUUCAUAAAGGCGCGGAUUGGACGGCCGGUGACCGAGAUAGCAGCCUCCGCCCCUCCCUCGGUCUUGCCCUUUGCAUAACUUUUAGAAAACAUGCGUGAUUAGAGGAUCAAUAGUGACUUAAUUCUAACCCGUAUCGAUGUUACCCGUUUAGCAUCUCUUAGUAAAUGUAAAUAUUGUACGCGGAUGACAGCAUUUUGAAGAAUUUACAAUUGGUGUUCUUUUAUUAAAUAUGGUUGAUAUCAUGAAAAAUCUUAGAUUGAUACAUUUGCGACAAACUUAUCCCAAACUAUUUUUUUUACACAAAAACCGUAAACUAGUAUAUUUGUAAUUUUACCUAAAACUAUUUUUUUUUAUCGUCAAAAACCUCAAACUGAUAUAUUUGUAGCAAAAUUACUCUUUACUAACUAGUGUUAAAUUAUACUAAUAUGAAUUGGUACAUCUAUGACAAACGAAGGGUAAAAUCCUAAAUUGGUACACUCAUUAACUAUCAUAUGUCAUUUAACUCAGUAAUUUAAUAGUACAAUUUAAGGGAAAUUAACGGAGGGUCAAUUUGUCAUAGGUGUAUCGGUAUGAGAUUUUUGAUAGCAAAUGUAGGAGUUUUACAUGGUAUUAAACUCUAUUGCAUAUGAUCAAAAGUCCUAGUUUCUACUAUUUUUGUCGACACAAUACCUUAAAAAACCUCAAACUUAAGCUCUGAUCCUAAUUCUAUCUUUUGUGUUAUAAGACCUCCAACUUUAGAUCAUGUCCCAAUUCCACCCUAACAUACAUAUUUUAGAAAACCCCAUAUUUUAGUUAUAGUCCCAAUCUUAUCUAAACAUCUGUUAUCUCAUAAAAUCCCUCAAAUUUAGGUCAAGUACCAAUUCCAACCUAAACGUUAUUUUGUCUUAUAAAAAGAAUCCUAGCUUUAGGUCCAAUUUCAUUUUCACUUUUUUUUUUUAUCUCAUAAAAGAUUACCAACUUUUACUUGAGUCCCAAAUCCACUCUCCAUUAACCCUCCAUCAAAAUUGCCCUUAGUGAUUUUGUGCUCGGUUUUUGAUCUCGCGUGCUUGGAAAUAUUUCAUUUCUCUUGAACAACUUGUGCUUGAGGGUUUUCCAUCUCUCGAUGUCAGCAGGAAAUUUUGCACGAAGGGUUAAUGGUGGCAAAUAUGCGACUCAAGUAAAAAUUUAUAGUUUUUUCAUCAGACUAUAAAAAUUUUACGGUAAUAUUGAGAGUGGAUAGGCUUUUCAUAAGACAAGAAAAGGUUUAAGGUAGAAUUAGUAUAUUAUUUAAAAUUGAAUUGUGAAUGGCUAUAAAAUUAGUGAUUUUUUUUAUGAGAUAAAAGGUAAAAUUAGGAGAAAAGCUAAAGUUAGAGAGUUUUUUUUAGGGUAUCAAACCUAUUUUUGUCAAUCAUAUGAUGUCAACAUUAUCUUUGUUUUUGUUUUUCUUUCAAUUGUCCAUUUGGUCGGUUCUUUUCUAUUCUUAUUCUCAAACUUUUGCCUUGACUCAUUACAAGUGUGAGAAUUGAAACCACAUUUGAUACUAUAUUGUCCCCCGGUAGGCAUUCAAAACCCCCAUCUCCCGCUUCUCAUGUAAGUUAUGAAUGGAGCCUUCGUGUCGUGUCCGACACGCUCGAAGAUGCGGUCAAUACGUGUUCGAAAUCCGACACGUGAACAAUUCUUAUUGACACAUUCUAACACACAAGUCCGAGAGAGAGGAUCGUUGAAGAAAACAAUGGCAAGGGAGCGAAGGCAACGGCAAGGCCACGACGGUGAGAGAGGGCUAGAGGAAGAGUAGAGACCGAGAUGACCUAAAGAGAGGAUCGUGACUGCAAUGGAGGGCCGGUGGCGAGACUGCACCUAUGUAGGAGGAAGGGUUGGAGGUGAGGCGGCAAGCGAUUAUGACAAGGCAAUCAAGAGAGAGAAGAGAUUGAGAGGUGGAUGGUCGUGCGAGGAGGAGGGGAAGGCCAGGGCUAGGGUUUUUGAAGGGGGAAAAUCAAAAAAUUAAAAACAUGAUUUUGAUGGGACAUUAGGGUUGUGCAAGGAGGAGGGGAAGGCCAGGGCUAGGGUUUUUGAAGGGGAAAACUCAAAAAAAUUAAAAACAUGAUUUUGAUGGGACAUUGCUGUGAUUUCUCCUUUAUGGAGAGGGGGAGCGUGUCGGGAGGUGGAGGGGGAGGGCAGAUAAAUGAGGGAAAGAUGAGUGAAAUAAGUUUGUUGGGGGCACAAAAGGAGGGGUUGGUAGGACCUGAGCAAGUCCUUAGACUGCUCCGUCUGGUCGGAAAUAGCCCACGGACGUAAAAUGUGGGCAAUGUUAAUCGUGGGAGAUCAGACCACCCUGUGUAAGGAUCUCCUGGCUCAGAUUCCCGCGAUGCCUUUCUCCUAACAUAUUAGGCUGGGUACAGGAAAAUGAUGAGUGAAAUAAGUUUGUUGGGGGGGGGGGGCACAAAAGGAGGGGUUGGUAAGGGUUGGCAUGGACCCCAUGGAUUUUUAUUUUUUUUUAAUCAAAAAAAUAAAUAAGGAAGGCCAGAAAGUGGGGGAAGAAACUAUGGAAAGAGAGUGAAGUAAAUGUGGGGGUGAGGGUUGGGGUGGACCACGGGGGUCUUUUCUUAUCAGAAAAAUAAAUAAGAAAAACUAUAAGGUGAUUUCGGAAAAUGAAAGUGUUGAAUGUUGAAUAAUAAUAAAAUUUGAUAAUUGUAAAAGAUUAUAGAUUUAUUUAAAUAAGUUAAUUCUAAUUUUUCUUAAUCAUUAGUUUUAUCAAUAAUUUUUGUUAGAGUUAGAAAUAUGUUCGUAUGGAUGCUAUAUGGCAUAUGGAAAGGGUGGCCUCACUUCUGGCGUUUCAUGUAUGGAAAGAGUGAUUAUUAAUGGCGCAUUUGGUAACGUUUUUGUUUCGGAGGACAAUUUUUGAAUAGAAAUAGUUUUUUUUUUUGUUCUAGGGAAUAAUUUUUGAGUAUAAGAAUGUGUUUGGUAACUGCAAACAAUUUCUACUCUAAAAAUAGAAACGCGCUUGGUAAACUUGUAUAAUUUCUUUGUUUCUUUUAAUUUUUUAAUAUUUUUAAUAUUUUUUUUCUUUUUUUCUUUUUUCUUUUUCUCUUUGGUCGGUUGCUGGCUAUGGCGAUGUCCGUUGAGCCUUGUCCAGGCAACGCGAGGUUCGCCUCGUGCCGAUUGGGGAGGUCAAGGCCUCUUGGCUUUGUCUGGGCUAAGCGAGGUUGACCUUGCCCAGCCACCGGCGAGACUCGGCCUCGCUGGGCCACCGCUAGGCGACUCUGUCCUGGAGGUGGCUCGGCGAGGUCGAGCCUCAUGCGGCCAUGGCGAGGCUCGGCCUCUCUGGGGGCUAGCGACACUCCGGCGAGGUCGUCGGCUCUCGUCUAGCCAGUUGCCGGUGUCAACUAUGGCUAAGGCUGAUGACNNNNNNNNNNNNNNNNNNNNNNNNNNNNNNNNNNNNNNNNNNNNNNNNNNNNNNNNNNNNNNNNNNNNNNNNNNNNNNNNNNNNNNNNNNNNNNNNNNNNCGUCUGGUCGAAAACAGCCCAUGGACGUAAAAUGUGGGCAAUGUUAAUCGCGGGAGAUCGGACCACCCUGUGUAAGGAUCUCUCGGUUCAGAUUCCCGCGAUGCCCUUCUCCUAACGUAUUAGACUGGGUACAGGAAAAUGACGAGUGAAAUAAGUUUGCUGGGGGCACAAAAGGAGGGGUUGGUAAGGGUUGGCAUGGACCCCAUGGACUUUUAUUUUUUUAUCAGAAAAAUAAAUAAGGAAGGCUAGAAAGUGGGGGAAGAAACUAUGGAAAGAGAGUGAAGUAAAUGUGGGGGUGAGGGUUGGGGUGGACCACGGGGGUCUUUUCUUAUCAGAAAAAUAAAUAAGAAAAACUAUAAGGUGAUUUCGGAAAAUGAAAGUGUUGAAUGUUGAAUAAUAAUAAAAUUUGAUAAUUGUAAAAGAUUAUAGAUUUAUUUAAAUAAGUUAAUUCUAAUUUUUCUUAAUCAUUAGUUUUAUCAAUAAUUUUUGUUAGAGUUAGAAAUAUGUUCGUAUGGAUGCUAUAUGGCAUAUGGAAAGGGUGGCCUCACUUCUGGCGUUUCAUGUAUGGAAAGAGUGAUUAUUAAUGGCGCAUUUGGUAACGUUUUUGUUUCGGAGGACAAUUUUUGAAUAGAAAUAGUUUUUUUUUUUGUUCUAGGGAAUAAUUUUUGAGUAUAAGAAUGUGUUUGGUAACUGCAAACAAUUUCUACUCUAAAAAUAGAAACGCGCUUGGUAAACUUGUAUAAUUUCUUUGUUUCUUUUAAUUUUUUAAUAUUUUUAAUAUUUUUUUUCUUUUUUUCUUUUUUCUUUUUCUCUUUGGUCGGUUGCUGGCUAUGGCGAUGUCCGUUGAGCCUUGUCCAGGCAACGCGAGGUUCGCCUCGUGCCGAUUGGGGAGGUCAAGGCCUCUUGGCUUUGUCUGGGCUAAGCGAGGUUGACCUUGCCCAGCCACCGGCGAGACUCGGCCUCGCUGGGCCACCGCUAGGCGACUCUGUCCUGGAGGUGGCUCGGCGAGGUCGAGCCUCAUGCGGCCAUGGCGAGGCUCGGCCUCUCUGGGGGCUAGCGACACUCCGGCGAGGUCGUCGGCUCUCGUCUAGCCAGUUGCCGGUGUCAACUAUGGCUAAGGCUGAUGACUGGCAAAAGGAAGAAGAAGAAGAAGAAGAAGAAGAAAAGAAAGAGAAAAUAGAAGAAGAAAAAUGAUAAGAAAAAAAAGUGUUUUUCGAAAGUGUUCUCGAGAAUAAGAAAUAAGUUUUUUUUUUUAAUUUCUUAUUUUUGUUCCAAAGUUGCUCUCACAAUAAAAAAAAAAGACCAGAAUAAAAGUAUAAACAAAUGAGUUUCUAUUCUUUUUUGGUUCUCUGGAACAAAAUAAUAAAAAUUUAUAUUCCAGGAAAAAAAAAUAAUUUUAAACGAACACACCCUAAGAUAUCUUUUGUAUUCCGGGGAAGUAGUUCAAUUGACGUGAGCCCGUGCGUCUUCCCUACAUGGGAAGGGUCGUCACUGGGUCUCAUCUGACCUAAGCAAGUGCGUCUUCACAGCUUUUACCGCUCCCCUCCUACACUUCGUAGCUACCGCCACUCCCCUCCUAUAAAUCUCGGCUCGCCCGACGCCUUCGCCAUCGUCUCGGUGCAGUGCAGGGAACGAGCGAGCUCGAGCUAGACGACGGCAAUGGCGGCUUCGACGACGACGGUGAGGAGGAUCAAGCUGGGGUCGCAGGGCCUCGAGGUGUCGGUGCAGGGGCUGGGCUGCAUGGGCAUGUCCGCCUUCUACGGCCCUCCCAAGUCCGACACCGACAUGAUCGCCCUGAUCCACCACGCCGUUGGCUCCGGCGUCACCUUCCUCGACACCUCCGACAUCUACGGCCCCCACACCAACGAAACCCUCCUCGGAAAGGUCGGUUCUCUCUCAGUCUCUGUUUUGCCUCCGCAUGAAUUAUAUGUGCUUAUAGUGUUACGGAAUUUAGCUUCAUCGAGCAGAGUGCUCUGAUCCUGCGCCUUGGUUUUCUGAUUUCGGGGUUGAUUUUGAGCAGGCACUGAAGGGAGGGGUGAGGCAGAAGGUGGAAUUGGCGACCAAGUUCGGAAUCAGCUUCGCGGACGGGAAGAGGGAGGUCCGGGGCGAUCCGGCGUACGUGAGGGCGGCUUGCGAGGCCAGCUUGAAGCGGCUUGACAUCGAUUGCAUCGACCUCUACUACCAACAUCGCAUCGACACUCGCGUCCCCAUCGAAGUCACUGUAUGGAUCCCCCAUCAAACUUUCACCUCGCUUGAGACUUUCUCCGAGCCAUAUGAUUAGUUGCUAAGUUAGAUUGGUGUUGAUGAUGCAUCGUCAUGUUGUUACAAGUUUGUUGAAAUUUGUUAAAUGACACUUAAGUUCGGCUGAUAGCAGAGUUCAAGAUGCGGCACGUUGUUGUUCAAGGGGUUGUGGAAUUUAGUAGUUUAGUGGCUUGAGUUUUCGUUUUGUGGGCAUCUUUUACAAGUUAAGGGUCAACAAGCAUGAAAAUUAUUCAAAAUCUUCCUUUGAGAUGAAAGUGCUCCAGGGUUCAUCCAGAAUUUAUAUACGGGAAUCACAUAUAAAGUUGUUCCUGGACUUUAUGUGGAGACAUUUGAUUCUUGACAUAUUGUGAAAUAUGACAAGUACUUGGAAUACUUCUUUUAUUUGCUCUCUUCUGUGAGAGAUUCAAGAAAUCAACCUCCGUUAACUCAAUACCUUGUGACUUUUUUGUCGCAUUGAGAUGCAUGAUAAUAGAGGGAUCUAGACGCAUAAAAAGCUAAUGACAUGCAUAAUUUUCUGGAUCUUAACAUGUAAGAUCUUGAUGUUGUUGUUCUGUCAUGUGAAUAUGCACAGAUCGGAGAGCUAAAGAAGCUCGUUGAAGAAGGUAAGAUAAAGUACAUCGGUUUAUCCGAGGCCUCUGCAUCAACAAUCAGAAGAGCACAUGCUGUUCAUCCCAUCACAGCAGUGCAAUUGGAGUGGUCGCUUUGGUCAAGAGAUGUGGAGGCAGAGAUCGUUCCAACGUGCAGGUAGGAUAUCACUCUGUUAAUUGUUUAUGCAGCAACAACAGCUUCCUUCUGACUCUGCUUUUCCUUUAAAAUGCUGACUAGGGAGCUUGGCAUUGGAAUUGUUGCCUACAGUCCUUUAGGACGAGGAUUCUUUUCUGUUGGCUCCAAGUUGGUGGAGAAUAUCUCUAAGGAUGACUUCAGACAGGUCUGUUCCUGCUUGUCAACAUAAUUAGAUGUUUACAUUGACUGUCAUUCUUAUUGAAGUGCUGGAAACCUGUUCUUGUGGUAUAAAGAAAAAGUAUCUGGAUGGGAUGAAUAAAACUUGGUGACACGAAUGCUUCGUGUUCUUAUAUGUCUUUAAUCCAGCACUUGCCAGACAUCCCACCUCUCUUGAUUCUAGAUAAAUGUAAAAUCACAAGUAACGGCUUUAAUGAGCCUGAAAGAGGCAGUUUCCUGGAUUCUCGUGCUUUUGGGAAUGAAUACAUAUAGGUUUAUAUGUAAGUUGCUCUGUUUCCCAGCCUUCCCAACAUUUGCUUAUCACUAUCCUUUCCCCACUUUCCACCCACCCUUUUUCUCUCAUCUUUCUUCACAAGAAUAGCGAUAUUUCCUCGAAAUAACUGACGCCAGUAUCGGGCUUUGGCCCUCCGUCCUUUUUCAUUCUCAUCUUUCUUCACAAGAUAAACUAUAUCUUGACACAACCAUUUCUUGAGCGCGGACUCCCGACACCCUUCUUAUGAGAGUUUUGGAUCAAGUUCCCAUCUGACAUAAAGCCAAUUGUGUAUUACUCCCCGCCAUUAGCGUUUGACUAGCGAUAGUGCUGGGCAAGUGAAGUAGCUAUUUUUCUUUGUAGCUAAAAGAGCUCUGCGUCUGAUAACAUUCUUCUACUCAUCAUCUACAUUUCUGAUUUUUUAUUUUAUGUGACUAAUGGUAUCAUCACACGUACAAAACUUAGAUUGUCGAGUUUGUUUCUGUUUUCACAUCCUACAUCAAGCCCAUCAGCCUUGUGUGGUAGUUGCUAGAUCACUUCGCUUGACGUUUCUAAUGCUUAUGAUUUGGGACAUGAUAUUUUAAUCAUUUCAAGAUAAUUUAUAACUGAUCAUGCUUUUUCAGAUACACAACGAUUGCACACUUCUAAAUGCUUAUUAUGUCAAGUAACAAGACAAUCCGAUGGCAUGCAAUGCAACCACUUUUGCACUUGUUGCUGUAGAAUUUAGCCUUAAGAGGAAAAUGAUAAUUUCUCAUAUGCUCUCUGCUGAGACAUUGCUCUAUGUUAUGCAGUAUCUACCAAGGUUCCGGCCAGAGAACUUGGCUCACAACACGAAGUUAUUUGACCGAGUGAAUGAAAUUGCGCAAAGAAAGGGAUGCACCACAUCGCAGUUAGCCCUGGCCUGGGUACACCACCAGGGUGACGACAUUUGCCCGAUUCCCGGCACAACCAAGAUCGAGAAUUUCAACCAGAACAUUGGAGCUCUGUCAGUGAAGCUUACACCGGAAGAGAUGGCCGAGCUUGAAUCGAUUGCUUCUGCGGACAAUGUCAAGGGUGGCAGGUACGAUGGAAGCAUGUCUACAUGGGAAAACUCCGACACUCCACCCCUUUCUUCUUGGAAACCUGCCUAGAAGCGUGUCUGCUUCUGUUGCUGCAUCUUUGAUGUGCAGAGGUUGAGCAUUUGCCGCUGAAGUAAUUUGAGUUUAUGUUGUGUGGCUGUUAUAAGUAUGUGUAAUAAGAGAGUGACUGUUUUCAUUUUGUACAUGUGACAUUCACUAUGAUAAGAUUAUGGAUGUGUACUAACCUUACUGGGGAAAGAUCACUCGAUAAACACGAGAGCGAGUUGAAUACGAACUGAGCCUGCCGUGUCGACUUUAUUGGGGUGACUUUUAGAAUCUGAGAAAUCGGGAUUUUGAAGAAUUCAAACUCAGUCGUACAUACUAGAGUGGUAUUCUCCACCAACCAUGAGUUCAAUCUCUUAAGACUGGAUGCUGCACAUAGAUGCAAAGCUUCGCUUUGUGUUUGGUUUGGUAGCGAAGUUAAGGAACAGUAAAAUGUUACCGGAUGUUCUCGCGAAAACGAAGUUGGGGAUAAAAUGCUGGCGCGGAUGAUAUGAGCGUCGGGGAAAUCGAGGGUUUCUUGUUCAAGUUUCACCACCUACGGUUCAUGAGCUUUUAUGUAGCUCGAUACCUUCGCUCAAUGCCUCUGCAUUAUUAUAAAACAGUCGGAGAUAUUGCGCAAGUUUCCUAAAAUUAAAAACGACACUUCUAUUGUUUUUUAUUUGGAGUUAGAGUGGUGCAAUGUUGUUUUGUUUUGGUUUAGGAAAAUAACGCAAAUAGUCACUACACUUUGGUCCAAUGUGUUAUGUUCUUACUGAAUUUUUAACUUGUUUAAUAUGGUUGUCGAGCUUUUUGUAUAUGUUUAAUUUAAAUCCUAGGCUAGAUAAAUCCAAUGAUGCCGUGUUUGGUCGGUUCGAAGAUCGUUGCUAUAUGGGAUAAUGAUAGGAUAAAAAUCCCAUCUAAUAUUUCUUGACGUCUGGAUAUAACAUGAUUCAAAUAAUUUUUUUUUUAAACGAGUGUUUGAUUUGUAUAAUUAAAAUUAAAAAUAAACCAUGGAAGUCGUGAAUACUAUUCAUCCUUUCACAAUCUUCAUCCAUAUCAAGCACCCCCGUUCCAUGUGACUUCAAGGACGCUCGCUCCUUCUGCAACACCCCUUUCGCUGCCCUUGAUCAACUUGAUGGAUUACGCUCGCUCUGCCUUUUGACUUCGCCACAUUGAGAGGCCCUUGGGUUUGAGUUCUCCGCUGGUCUAGCCAUCUUUAUUUUCAACGCCUUUUCCUGCGAUGAAUCCAUCCCCCUCGACGAGUGUGAAUGCCGCGUUGAUUCCCUGUUACCGUGCUCCGACUUGUUCAGUCGCUUCAACAGCUUCCCCCGAGACAGCGUGCGGAUCCGGUUUAUGAGUGGUAGCAGCAUCGGUACUACUCGCUCCGAGUGACGUGGUUGAGGAGCUCUAUCACCUUGGCUGCCGCCUCUUUCGGAUCAUCUUCUUCACAGAGGAGGUGUCCAGCUUUGAUCGGGAUCACAAAUUUCCCUACUAAAAUGAAGUUGAGUGACACAAGAAAGAGGCAGGGCUGACGAGCUCCGCGAUACUCAUGCUCAUGCUCUAAUUUUGUGGUGGUCAUUUUAGCGAGACAAAUUGGAACAAGAGAGAGAUGAUGGUGGCACUGGUCAAAAGCGAGGAUAAGCUAUAAAAAGCGCCCCGCCGCCCGGGGGGGGGGGGGGGGGGGGGGGGGGGGUCAGUUUUUCAAAUUUCACAUAUUUUAUCUGGAUUUAUAUCACUUUCUAGAUGUGAUUUUUUAUCCGUGCUAUAUCCUAAUUUCACAUUACUCUAGACACCAUAUAGGAUUAAACUUAUCAUAUUAGAGUUUUAUCCAGCCCUUCAAAUGCAGUCUUAUGAGAUAGAAUGCAAUGAUAUAAUCUGUGAACUAAAUUUAAACAUUUAUUAAAAGUUUACGAACGGAAUUUCACAUUUUGAUUGUUAAGAUGCAUGAGUGAGUUAUGUUAAAAUAAUCACACAAUAUAUUGAUAGCUUUAAAAAUGGGCUUUCUCUUGGUGAUGACGUUGAUCCAUAUAGAGAAAUUAAUGAGAGGGUUUAUUUGGCCUAACUAAAUGGGAGGCUAUAUCAAUGGGAGGUUUUUCAUUGUAACAUUCCCUUGUGCUUGGAAUUUGUUUUUUAGUAAAGGAUUUUAUUAGCGUAAUAAUAGUCUUUGGGUUAUUAUGUGAAUAACAAUUUAUUGUGAGUCACAAAUUUUUUAAAGUAAUGAACCCCAUAAUAAUUUCAAUUAUUUGUUACUUGAUUUUUUGUAGUUUAGAAUAAAAAUUAUCACCAAGUUAUUUCUUUUUAACAAAUAUAUUGCUCUAACUGUUGUUUUCAAUUAAGUUUGCAUCGGAGAAGAGAUUAUUUUGUUUUGCUACGCUUGUCGGAUAUUGCACAGGAUAUUGUCAUUUUCUUAGCACUAGCAACGUUGCGUUCAGACAAGGCGGCAUGGAAUUAUUUGCUCAGCUGCACAUCACACGACCAUACAUUCAUGGACUGUUCCUCAGGAAAGCAUAUAGACAUGUGGCAGAUGCAGAACAUUUCACGAGAUUAAAAAAAAGAAAAUAAUUUUUAAAAAACAAUACUUUCGACUUCAAAACGUGCCAAUCGAACGCCUGCUACUCCCGCCUAUAAAGCUCGGCUCACCCAACGGCUUCGUUGUCGUCUCGAACUGUCCAUUCUCCAUUCUCUGUUCUUGCAUCGACCUCGAGCUAGACGAUGGUGGCAAUGGCGUCGUCAGACGGUGAGGAGGAUCAAGUUGGGGUCGUAGGGUCUCAAGGUCUCGGCGCAGGGGCUGGGCUUGCAUGGGCAUGUUGGAAGAUAUGCGGAUUGCCUGAUUUGAUUUGAUCUUAAUUGAUCAUGAUUAAUCACGAUCUUCAUGUAUAUGUAAAUUAAAAAUUAGAUCUAGAUCUCGAUUGAUAAUCCAGAUCAUUUACUUCCUUAUUCAAGAUAGAGCUUGUAUUAUAUCUCUGCAAAAUUGUACAUUCAGAUUGUAAUAGUGAUAAUACAGAAAAAUCUCCCCACAUCGAUUCCCAUUUUCCUCUCCAAACUUCAUCCGUUCUUCCUUCACUCUUGCCUUCUUUCAUGGUAUCAGAGCAGCUUUGAUCUCUGACUCGCUUCCGUUCCAAACCACUGCUGAAGAAAAUUCUCAACCUGCAAAAGGGUUGAUCUUUCGGCAUUAGGCAUACUCUCGAAGGAAGAAAUUUAAAUUAUCUUACUAUGGCCUCUCCGCAGGACUCCAGUCUGGCUGCUGACGACAGGACCACCGAAGAAAGUAGUCCUCAAGCUCCACAGAUCCAGAAUCUCCCUGCAGUAAUACCAGUAUCCACCCAACCCCAGCAGUGGCGGCCCACGCAGGCUCAGUUUCAAUUGGGGCAACCCACGACGGGUCAACCAUACUAGUGGAUCCCCUAUCCACUCUAUUUUGGGCCAAGCCCAAAUUUCUCAUCGCCUUUUUUCGUGGGCCACCAGAAUCACAAUGGAGGCCCGCCAGCCACGAAUGGGGCAAGCCCAUCCAUCGCGAGAGAGCAGACGGGCGGUUCAAGCGAAUCGGGUACGGGGCAUAAUCCCUACCCGGGACAUGUCAAUGCGGGGUAUCUAGUUGGAUUGAGCGAAUCGGGUCAAGGGACGAAUCCCUACCCGAAUUUCGCACCGGGUUUUCUGUCCAUUCCAGCGGCGGCGUUCACUGGGCGACUAGAAAUAGGCGAUCCUCUGUUUGUCUCCACCGCUGACGGAUCGGAGCUUUGACUGAUAAACCAGCAACUAACCGGACUAGAGACCUAUUCGAAGUGGUCACAGGAGCUCCGGCGGGCAUUGGUGACAAAAGACAAAGACGGAUUUCUCGAUGGGACAAUUUCCAUCCCCUCCGAUGAACGCCUAGCCGGACACUGGCGGAAAUGCAAUCAACUCGUCCGAAUGUGGAUCAGAAAUUGCAUAUCCCCAGAAGUCAUGGCUGGGCUUCCACCCACAGAGGAUGCCAAAACCAUGUGGGAAAACAUUCGAGAAAUAUACGGUAAAAUGGAUCAAGCAAAAGUUUUUAAUCUUAUGCAGGAAAUUAGCGAACUCAAACAGGGAAAUUCGACGGUCACGGCCUGCUUCAACAGGCUAUCGUCCCUCCUGAAUCAACUCGAAGCAGUAGAAGAAAAGCUCGAAGGGCCAGAAUCUACCCUCAAGCAGUACAAACAAAUCAAAGAGAGAGAAAAAGCCACGCGAUUCUUGCUGAUUUUAAACGAAUCGUACCUCACGUUUCGGUCACAGAUCCUUGUCAUGGAUCCCAUGCCACCGAUCGGACGUAUUUACAAACUGGCGAUGCAGGAGGAGAGUCAGCGACUCACAAUCACGAACAACGGUGAGAGCAUCGCUCUGGCUGCCCGCGGAGAGGGGAGAACCCUAACCCUAGCUCGUGAAAAUGAAAAGAAAAGCCCUUUAGGGUUCGACGAGCUCGAUUCGCGCGGGCUUAAAAGGGAUGGGAUGAACGGCCAGGAUUACAUGCAAGGAUCGAGCGGCUUAGAUUACUCCCGAAAAUAUGACGGCCCAGAUUACGCAUGGAGAUCCGACGGUCGUCAAGGAAUCGAAAUUGCGCCUGGAUUGGACGGUGGACAGCAGAUCGCGAUCAAAGGAACGGACGGCCAGAUCUUCACCACGUCAUCAAAGAAUUUCGCAAAUUUUUUUAAAGGAAAGGGGUAAAUUUUUUUGCGAUUAUUGCAAACGUACUAAUCAUACCAUUGACAGUUGCUGGAAAUUACACGGGAAGCCGGGAGAAAAGGAGAAAAAAAUUUCCACAGCUUAUCAAGUCACUGGACCAGCUGGUCCAAAAAUUGACCAGCCAAUCUCAUAUGGUCAAUAUCAGCAACUCAUGCAAAAACUACAGAAGAUGGAAAUUUCCAACAAAGGGGGCAAUUUCUCAGGUAUUUCACAUUGCCUAAUUAAUUCCAUUUCCAGGAAGGCGUGGAUUAUAAUUCUGGGGCAAGUGACCAUAUUAUACGCGACAAGGGAUUUUUUUUUCAAAUAUAAAUGAAAGUUUGAAUUUUCCUGUCUCCGUACAAUUACCCAACGGAAAUGUUACUCAUGUCAAAGUGAUAGGAACAGUGAAUCUCAGUCCUCAGAUUAUUCUCUAGAAUGUGCUAUAUGUCCCAGAAUUCCAAUUCAACCUCAUAUCUGUGUCUCAAGUCUGCAAAGAGAACUCAUGCCGGGUAAUAUUCAAUGCUGACACAUGUUUAUUUCAGGCCCUUUCGACUGGAAGACAGAUGGACUUGGGUAAUCUUUCUGAAGGACUCUAUUUCUGGACGAGUUUUCCAAGUAAUUUCAAUUUUCCAUGCAAUUCCUUGAAUAAAAAAUCAUUGUGUAAUUCAACUGCCAAUGAUAGAAAUUUGACUAUGCAUAUGAGAUUGGGUCACAGUGCUUCAUUUUCAUAUCAUGAAUGUCUUAUAUGUCCCCUUGCAAAGCAAUCUCGCACACCAUUUUCUUCUAGUACUUCACGGACUAGUCAAAUAUUUGCAUUACUUCACGUGGACAUUUGGGGACCUUAUCAUACAGUCAAUCAUGAUGGCUCCCGUUAUUUUCUUACGAUAGUAGAUGACUAUUCUCGGGCAACAUGGAUCUUCCUAAUACAAUAAAAAAAUUAGGUCUAUUCUCACCUGAAAAAUUUCAUUAUGCUAUCUAAGAACCAAUUCAGGAAAUCCAUUCAGCGGAUUCGCACAGAUAACGGGAGAGAAUUCUUCAGUCAUGAAUGCUCCCAGUUAUUCAAUUCUCAUGGUAUUCGACACGAAAGUUCCUGCAUUUACUCACCACAACAAAAUGGAGUGGUUGAAAGAAAGCAUCGCCAUCUACUGGAAGUGGCUCGUGCCUUGAAAUUUCAAGCAUCAAUUCCAGAAAGAUAUUGGGGUGACUGUGUCACCAUAGCAGCUUAUCUUAUUAAUAGAAUGCCUACUCGGAUUCUUAAUGGACAGAUGCCAUUCGAGCUGUUAUUUGGGAAGAAACCGGACUUGAAUCAUCUCAAGAUCUUCGGAUGUCUCUGCUAUGCUGCAAUCAUGGGGCCUCGAGAUAAAAUGAGCCCAUGUGCGCGGCGAUGCGUCUUUAUGGGAUAUCCCAAUCUCCAGAAGGGGUAUCGGGUGCUUGAGAUUUCCACAGGAGAAUUCAUAGUAAGUCAUGAUGUCAUUUUCCAUGAAACUACUUUUCCAUUUUAUGAAGGGGAAUCUUCACAUGGAGAUCCAAAGAUAACUUCCAGCCAUCAUAAUUUUCUCAAUGAUGAAGCACCAUACCGGGAUCUUUCCUAUGUACCAAUAGUACAGCCGAGGGAUCCUAUUCUUCCUACAGUCCCAGUUCUACAAGAUUCUAAUGGAAAUUCGAAUUCUUCAGAACAUAUUCAGGGAGAUAUCUUGGAGGAACCCAUUGCUGAUGCAGAAGUUGAUGACACUACAACAACUUCAUUACCAGCAACAUCACAGCCCACCACCGAAGCUGGACAUCCUAGGAGGUCUGAACGAGCUACAAGACCACCAACCCGGACGAAAGAUUAUGUCUGUACUACUCACAACUCUCCAAGUAUUCAGUAUCCAGUCUCUUCAUAUGUUUCCUUUGAUAGAUUGUCUCAAGAACAUAGAUGUUGUAUUAGUCGAUUGUUUGAAGAGAAAGAACCGUCCAGUUAUAAAGAAGCCUCCAAUAACCCAAAAUGGCAAGAGACCAUGAAGGCAGAAUUGAAGGCCCUUACUGAUAAUCAUACAUGGGAUCUUGUUCCAUUACCAGCUCAUCGUAAACCAAUUGGAUGCAAAUGGGUUUACAAAAUCAAGUAUCGGGCUGAUGGCUCCAUUGAACGGUACAAGGCAAGAUUGGUAGCUAAGGGGUUCACCCAAAGAGAAGGUUUUGACUACCACGAGACGUUCUCACCAGUUGCCAAAGAUGUUACAGUCCGUUCAUUCUUAGCUGUUGCUGCCAUCAAUGACUGGCACCUACACCAGAUGGAUGUCCAUAAUGCUUUUCUCCAUGGCAAUCUAGAUGAAGAGAUCUACAUGAAUAUUCCUCAAGGCAUACAGAGACAGGGGGAUAAUAAGGUGUGUCGUCUCCGUAAAUCCCUUUAUGGAUUAAAACAGGCAUCCGGACAAUGGUAUGCUAAAUUUGCCAGUGCUCUUACAACAGCAGGCUUCAAGCAAUCCAAGCAUGAUUAUGCUCUGUUCUAAAAAACUAAAGGUAUGUCAUCUAUCUAUUUGAUGAUUUAUGUCGAUGACAUACUUGUUAUGGGAAAUGAUAGAGCCUCUAUAGAGAAUUUCAAGGAAUAUUUGCAUGCUACCUUCCAUAUUAAAGACUUAGGAGCACCAAAAUAUUUCCUUGGAAUCGAAGUUGCUCGAUCUGACAAGGGAAUUUCCCUUAGUCAGCGGAAGUUCAUUCUAGAAAUCAUAUCAGAAGUAGGUCUAUUAGGAUGCAAGCUAGCUGUAAUUCCUAUAGAGCAAAACACUAAGUUGACCAUCGCAGACUAUGAUAAGGGAAUAUUUCGAAAUGAUGAUUCCUUACUCAGUGAUCCGUCAGGCUAUCAAAGACUUGUUGGGAAACUUAUAUACCUGACAAUGACUAGACCUGAUAUCUUAUAUGCGGUUCAGACACUUAGCCAGUUUAUGCAUCAACCAAAGCGUUCUCAUUUGGAUGCAGCCUUAAAGGUCGUUAAAUAUCUCAAGAAAUGUCCGGGGCUAGGGAUACUUCUCUCUAAGGAAUGUGACAUGAGGAUGACAGCAUAUUGUGAUGCAGACUAUGCAACAUGUCCGAUUAGUCGAAGAUCUGUUACUGGAUAUUGCAUUAAAUUGGGAGGAUCUCUUCUAUCUUGGAAAACCAAGAAACAAGCUACUGUGUCUCUGUCCUCAGCCGAAGCAGAAUAUCGAGCUGUGGCCAAGGCCACUUGUCAAGUAGUUUGGAUGCGAGGAUUACUCAAGGAUCUUGGAGUAGAAGUGCAAGGACCCACAAGGUUAUAUUGUGAUAAUGAUACAGCUCUUAAACUUGCAACUAAUCCUAUAGUACAUGAAAGAACCAAGCAUAUAGAAGUGGAUUGUCACUUCACACGGGAAAAGAUCCAGGAAGGAGUAAUUGAGACGAGGAAUUUGGACAACGGAGCAACCAGUAGACUUGUUCACCAAGCCCCUAUGUCAGAGGCAACAUGCAUAUCUAUUAAAAAAGCUAGGCGUCUUGGACAUCUACAAGCCACCAGCUUGAGGGGGAGUGUUGGAAGAUAUGUGGAUUGCCUGAUUUGAUUUGAUCUUAAUUGAUCAUGAUUAAUCACGAUCUUCAUGUAUAUGUAAAUUAAAAAUUAGAUCUAGAUCUAGAUUGAUAGUCUAGAUCAUUUACUUCCUUAUUCAAGAUAGAGCUUGUAUUAUAUCUCUGCAGAAUUGUACAUUCAGAUUGUAAUAGUGAUAAUACAGAAAAAUCUCCCCACAUCGAUUCCCAUUUUCCUCUCUAAACUUCAUCCGUUCUUCCUUCACUCUUGCCUUCUUUCAGGGCAUAUCUACUUUGCCGGCCCUCCCAAGCCCAACCCCGACACGAUCGAGCUUGUCCACCACGCCGUUGAAUCUGGCGUUGCCUUCCUCGACACCUCCGACAUCUAUGGCCUUAACGCCAAGGAAGUCCUCCUUGGAAAGGUCGGUAUUUAUUUUGUAGAUAUAAUUGAAGAUCUUGAUCGUGACGCCAAUCCUAAUUGCGGACUAAUUGAUUUGGUCAAUUUGUGAUUGUUUAGUGAAUAUGGAAAUUUUUGUAAUUCUUUAUAUAUUAUUUCAUUUUUUCUCUUUCAUUCUUACACUAUAAAUAGACCAAUGAACUAAUAUACAGAUCAAUCAAUAUACAACAAAAUUUUCUUCAUUUUCUCUUUUGUUUUCUAUUAUGUUAUCAGUGUCAUUCUUCCUCGCCUAGCUUCCCAUAUCUUAGAGUUGCCUUUCUUUUUUUCUUUGUUUUUUUUUUUUUUUUGGUUAUUGCAAGUCCUCAUCCUGCAAUACAAAUCAGCAAAUCGAUUAGGAAUUCAAUUUUUUUUUUCAAUACCAAGGCAAAAAAUAAGAACACUGAGAGCUCCAUGAUAGAGGAGACACCUACCUCACCUCAAAAUCAAGCCCCAUCGCCGUCGGAUUCGAUUAUGAUUUGGGACAAUAUAUUUUAAUCAUUUCGAGAUAAUCUUUAACUGAUCAUGCUCUUCCAGAUACACAGCAAUUGCGCACUUCCAAAUGCUUAUUAUGUCAAGUAACAUGACAAUCUGAUGGCAUGCAACGCAACCAAUUUUGCACUCGUUGAUGUAGAAUUUGGCGUUAAAAGGAAAAUGAUGGUUGCUCGUAUGCUCUCUGCUUAGACAUUGCUUUAUGUUAUGAAGUACCUACCAAGGCUGCGGCCAGAGAACUUGGCUAAUGCAAAGUUAUUCGACCAAGUGAAUGAAAUUGCACAAAGAAAGGGAUGCACCCCAUUGCAGUUAACCCUCGCCUGGGUACACCACUGGAGUGAUGACGUUUGCCCGAUUACCGGCACGAUCAAGAUCGAGAAUUUCAACCAGAACAUUGGAGCUCUGUCAGUGAAGCUUUCGCCAGAAGAGAUGGCCAAGCUCAAAUCGAUUGCUUAUACGGACAAUGUCAGGCGUGAGAAUUAAAACCACAUUUGAUACUAAAUUAUGCCUAGGUAGGAAUUCAAAACUCCACCUCCCGCUUUUCAUGUGGGAAGGUUGGCCCCACCUCGCGCUUAUGGAAAGAGUAAUCACGAAGACAUCACAAUAGUUCAAUUGACGUGAGCAGGUACGUCUUCCCUACAUGGUAAGGGUCGUCACUGGGCGUGCAAUUGACGUAAGCACGUGCGUCUUCACAGCCACUACCGCUCCCCUCCUACUCAUCGUAGCUUCUGCCACUACCCUCCUAUAAAUCUCGGCUCGCCCGACGACUUCGCCAUCGUCUCGGUGCAGUGCAGGGAACGAUCGAGCUCGAGCUAGACUACGGCAAUGGCGGCAUCGACGACGACGGUGAGGAGGAUCAAGCUGGGGUCGCAGGGCCUGGAGGUGUCGGCGCAGGGGCUGGGCUGCAUGAGCAUGUCCGCCUUCUACGGCCCUCCCAAGUCCGAGCCCGACAUGAUCGCCCUCAUCCACCACGCCGUCGGCUCCGGCGUCACCUUCCUCGACACCUCCGACUUCUACGGUCCUCACACCAACGAAAUCCUCCUCGGAAAGGUCGUUCUCUCAGUCUCUCUUUUGCCUCUGCAUGAAUUAUAUAUGCUUAUGGUUUUACGGAACUUAGCUUCAUCGAGCAGGAUGCUCUGAUCCUGCGCCUUGGUUUUCUGAUUUCGGGGUUGAUUUUGAGCAGGCACUGAAGGGAGGGGUGAGGCAGAAGGUGGAAUUGGCGACCAAGUUCGGAAUCAGAUUGGCGGACGGGAAGAGGGAGAUCCAGGGCGAUCCGGCGUACGUGAGGGCUGCUUGCGAGGCCAGCUUGAAGCGGCUCGACAUCGAUUGCAUCGACCUCUACUACCAGCACCGUAUCGACACUCGCGUCCCCAUUGAAGUCACUGUAUGGAUCCCUUAUCAAACUUUCACCUCGCUUGAGACUUUCUCUGAGCCAUACGAUGCAUCGUCAUGUUGUUACAAGUUUGUUGAAUUUUGUUAAAUGACACUUAAGUUCAGCUGAUAGCAGAGUUCAAGAUGCGGCACGGUGUUGUUCAAGGGUUGUGGAAUUUAGUAGUUUAGUGGCUUGAGUUUUCGUUUUGUGGGAAUCUUUUACAAGUUAAGGGUCAACAAGCAUGGAAAUUAUUCGAAAUCUUCCUUUGAGAUGAAAGUGCUCCGGGGUUCAUCCUGAAUUUAUAUACGGGAAUCACAUAUAAAGUUGUUCCUGGACUUUAUACGGAGACAUUUGAUUCUUGACAUAUUGUGAAAUAUGACAAGUACUUGGAAUACUUCUUUUAUUUGCUCUCUUCUGUGAGAGAUUCAAGAAAUCUACCUCCGUUAACUCAAUUCCUUGUGGGUUUUUUGUCGCAUUGAGAUGCAUGAUAAUUGAGGGAUCUAGACACAAAAAGCUAAUGACAAAAAUAAUUUUCUGGAUCUUAACAUGUAAGAUCUUGAUGUUGUUGUUCUGUCAUGUGAAUAUGCACAGAUCGGAGAGCUAAAGAAGCUCGUUGAAGAGGGUAAGAUAAAGUACAUCGGUUUAUCCGAGGCCUCUGCAUCAACAAUCAGAAGAGCACAUGCUGUUCAUCCCAUCACAGCAGUGCAAUUGGAGUGGUCGCUUUGGUCCAGAGAUGUGGAGGCGGACAUCGUUCCAACGUGCAGGUAGGAUAUCACUCCGUUAAUUGUUUAUGCAGCAACAACAGCUUCCUUCUGACUCUGCUUUUCCUUUAAAAUGUUGACUAGGGAGCUUGGCAUUGGAAUUGUUGCCUACAGUCCUUUAGGACGAGGAUUCUUUUCUGUUGGCUCCAAGUUGGCGGAGAAUUUCUCAAAGGAUGACUUCAGACAGGUCUGUUUCUGCUGGUCGACAUAAUUAGAUGCUCACAGUGACUGUCAUUCUCAUUGAAGUGCUGGAAACCUGUUCUUGUGGUAUAAAGAAAAGUUUCUGGAUGGGAUGAAUAAAACUUGGUGACACAAAUGCAUCACGUUCUUAUAUGUCUUCAAUCCAGCACUCGCCAGACAUACUACCUCUCUCGAUUCUAGAUAAAUGUAAAAUCACAAGUAAUGGCUUUAGUGAGCCUGAAAGAGGUAGGUUCCCGGAUUCUCAUUCUUUUGGGAAUGAAUACAUAUAGGUUUAUAUGUAAGUUGCUCUGUUUCCCAGCCUUCCCAACAUUUGCUUAUCACUAUCCUUUCCCCACUUUCCACCCACCCUUUUUCUCUCAUCUUUCUUCACAAGAUUAGCGAUAUUUCCUCGAAAUAACUGACGCCAGUAUCGGGCUCUGGCCUUCCGUCCUUUUUCAUUCUCAUCUUUCUUCACAAGAUAAACUAUAUCUUGACACAACCAUUUCUUGAGUGAGGACUCACGACACCCUUCUUAUGAGAGUUUUGGAUCAAGUUCCCAUCUGACAUAAAGCCAAUUGUGUAUUACUCCCUGCCAUUAGCGUUUGACUAGCGAUAGCGCUGGGCAAGUGAAGUAGCUAUUUUUCUUUGUAGCUAAAAGAGCUCUGCGUCUGAUAACAUUCUUCUACACAUCAUCUACAUUUCUGAUUUUUUAUUUUAUGUGUGACUAAUGGUAUCAUCACACGUACAAAACUUAGAUUGUCGAGUUUGUUUCUGUUUUCACAUCCUACAUCAAGCCCAUCAGCCUUGUGUGGUAGUUGCUAGAUCACUUCGCUUGACGUUUCUAAUGCUUAUGAUUUGGGACAUGAUAUUUUAAUCAUUUCAAGAUUAUUUAUAACUGAUCAUGCUUAUCCAGAUAGACAACGAUUGCACACUUCUAAAUGCUUAUUAUGUCAAGUAACAAGACAAUCUGAUGGCAUGCAAUGCAACCACUUUUGCACUUGUUGCUGUAGAAUUUAGCCUUAAAAGGAAAAUGAUAAUUGCAAUUGCUUUCUGCUGAGACAUUGCUCUAUGUUAUGCAGUAUCAUCCAAGGUUCCAGCCAGAGAACUUGGCUCACAACACGAAGUUAUUUGACCGAGUGAAUGAAAUUGCGCAAAGAAAGGGAUGCACCCCAUCUCAGUUAGCCCUGGCCUGGGUACACCACCAUGGUGACGACAUUUGCCCGAUUCCCGGCACAACCAAGAUCGAGAAUUUCAACCAGAACAUUGGAGCUCUGUCAGUGAAGCUUACACAGGAAGAGAUGGCCGAGCUUGAAUUGAUUGCUUCUGCGGACAAUGUCAAGGGUGGCAGGUAUGAUGGAAGCAUAUCUACAUGGGAAAACUCCGACACUCCACCCCUUUCUUCUUGGAAACCUGCCUAGAAGCGUGUCUGCUUCUGUUGCUGCAUCUUUGAUGUGCAGAGUUUGAGCAUUUGCCGCUGAAGUAAUUUGAGUUGAUGUUGUGUGGCUGUUAUAAGUAUGUGUAAUAAGAGAGUGACUGUUUUCAUUUUGUACAUGUGACAUUCACUAUGAGAAGAUUAUGGAUGUGUACUAACCUUACUGGGGAAAGAUCACUCGAUAAACACGAGAGCGAGUUGAAUAUGAACUGAGCCUGCCUUGUCGACUUUAUGGGGUGACUUUUAGAAUCAAUUGGGAUUUUGAAGAAUUCAAACUCAGUCGUACAUACCGCUGGAAAUAUGGCUUCGAAAUUGGGUAGAACAAUGAAAUCGGAUCGAGUAAAAUAACUCGGACUUUGAGGCGCGAUAUCACUUUCUUUAAGGAUUUAUUUACCCCACAACGUUGCUAAUGGUCACCAGCAAAAAUCCUCCAGGAUACAACAAAGUCUCGGAUGAGAAUACUAGAUAGCAAUUCAAGUAUUUCUCCAGGGUCUCUCUAAGAAACAAUCGAAAAAUUGGAUGCUGUUUUUCAGAAAGGAAUACUCGAAAAUGACACUCUUUUUCUUUCCGAAAAUGAUAGAUAUAUAUAUGAAACAGUCUUGCNNNNNNNNNNNNNNNNNNNNNNNNNNNNNNNNNNNNNNNNNNNNNNNNNNNNNNNNNNNNNNNNNNNNNNNNNNNNNNNNNNNNNNNNNNNNNNNNNNNNUUUUUUUUUUUUAUUUCUUAUUUUUGUUCCAAAGUUGCUCUCACAAUAAAAAAAAAAAAGACCAGAAUAAAAGUAUAAACAAAUGAGUUUCUGUUCUUUUUUGGUUCUCUAGAACAAAAUAAUAAAAAUUUAUAUUUCGGGAAAAAAAAUAAUUUUAAAUGAACACACCCUAAGAUAUCUUUUGUAUUCCGGGGAAGUAGUUCAAUUGACGUGAGCCCGUGCGUCUUCCCUACAUGGGAAGGGUCGUCGCUGGGUCUCAUCUGACCUAAGCAAGCGCGUCUUCACAGCUAUUACCGCUCCCCUCCUACACUUCGUAGCUACCGCCACUCCCCUCCUAUAAAUCUCGGCUCGCCCGACGCCUUCGCCAUCGUCUCGGUGCAGUGCAGGGAACGAGCGAGCUCGAGCUAGACGACGGCAAUGGCGGCUUCGACGACGACGGUGAGGAGGAUCAAGCUGGGGUCGCAGGGCCUCGAGGUGUCGGCGCAGGGGCUGGGCUGCAUGAGCAUGUCCGCCUUCUACGGCCCUCCCAAGUCCGAGCCCGACAUGAUCGCCCUCAUCCACCACGCCGUCGGCUCCGGCGUCACCUUCCUCGACACCUCCGACGUCUACGGUCCUCACACCAACGAAAUCCUCCUCGGAAAGGUCGUUCUCUCAGUCUCUGUUUUGCGUCCGCAUGAAUUAUAUGUGCUUAUAGUGUUACGGAAUUUGGCUUCAUCGAGCAGAGUGCUCUGAUCCCGCGCCUUGGUUUUCUGAUUUCGGGGUUGAUUUUGAGCAGGCACUGAAGGGAGGGGUGAGGCAGAAGGUGGAAUUGGCGACCAAGUUCGGAAUCAGCUUCGCGGACGGGAAGAGGGAGGUCCGGGGCGAUCCGGCGUACGUGAGGGCGGCUUGCGAGGCCAGCUUGAAGCGGCUUGACAUCGAUUGCAUCGACCUCUACUACCAACAUCGCAUCGACACUCGCGUCCCCAUCGAAGUCACUGUAUGGAUCCCCCAUCAAACUUUCACCUCGCUUGAGACUUUCUCCGAGCCAUAUGAUUAGUUGCUAAGUUAGAUUGGUGUUGAUGAUGCAUCGUCAUGUUGUUACAAGUUUGUUGAAAUUUGUUAAAUGACACUUAAGUUCGGCUGAUAGCAGAGUUCAAGAUGCGGCACGUUGUUGUUCAAGGGGUUGUGGAAUUUAGUAGUUUAGUGGCUUGAGUUUUCGUUUUGUGGGCAUCUUUUACAAGUUAAGGGUCAACAAGCAUGAAAAUUAUUCAAAAUCUUCCUUUGAGAUGAAAGUGCUCCAGGGUUCAUCCAGAAUUUAUAUACGGGAAUCACAUAUAAAGUUGUUCCUGGACUUUAUGUGGAGACAUUUGAUUCUUAACAUAUUGUGAAAUAUGUCGAGUACUUGGAAUACUUAUUUUAUUUGCUCUCUUCUGUGAGAGAUUCAAGAAAUCUACCUCCGUUAACUCAAUACCUUGUGACUUUUUUGUCGCAUUGAGAUGCAUGAUAAUAGAGGGAUCUAGACGCAUAAAAAGCUAAUGACAUGCAUAAUUUUCUGGAUCUUAACAUGUAAGAUCUUGAUGUUGUUGUUCUGUCAUGUGAAUAUGCACAGAUCGGAGAGCUAAAGAAGCUCGUUGAAGAAGGUAAGAUAAAGUACAUCGGUUUAUCCGAGGCCUCUGCAUCAACAAUCAGAAGAGCACAUGCUGUUCAUCCCAUCACAGCAGUGCAAUUGGAGUGGUCGCUUUGGUCAAGAGAUGUGGAGGCAGAGAUCGUUCCAACGUGCAGGUAGGAUAUCACUCUGUUAAUUGUUUAUGCAGCAACAACAGCUUCCUUCUGACUCUGCUUUUCCUUUAAAAUGCUGACUAGGGAGCUUGGCAUUGGAAUUGUUGCCUACAGUCCUUUAGGACGAGGAUUCUUUUCUGUUGGCUCCAAGUUGGUGGAGAAUAUCUCUAAGGAUGACUUCAGACAGGUCUGUUCCUGCUUGUCAACAUAAUUAGAUGCUUACAUCAACUGUCAUUCUUAUUGAAGUGCUGGAAACCUGUUCUUGUGGUAUAAAGAAAAAGUAUCUGGAUGGGAUGAAUAAAACUUGGUGACACGAAUGCUUUGUGUUCUUAUAUGUCUUUAAUCCAGCACUUGCCAGACAUCCCACCUCUCUUGAUUCUAGAUAAAUGUAAAAUCACAAGUAAUGGCUUUAAUGAGCCUGAAAGAGGCAGUUUUCUGGAUUCUCGUGCUUUUGGGAAUGAAUACAUAUAGGUUUAUUUGUAAGUUGCUCUGUUUCCCAGCCUUCCCACCAUUUGCUAAUCACUAUCCUCUCCCCACUUUCCACCCACCCUUUUUCUCUCAUCUUUCUUCACAAGAUUAGCGAUAUUUCCUCAAAAUAGCUGACGCCAGUAGCGGGCUUUGGCCCUCCGUCCUUUUUCAUUCUCAUCUUUCUUCACAAGAUAAACUAUAUCUUGACACAACCAUUUCUUGAGUAAGGACUCCUAGCACCCUUCUUAUGAGAGUUUUGGAUCAAGUUCCCAUCUGACAUAAAGCCAAUUGAGUAUUACUCCCCGCCAUUAGCAUUUGACUAGCGAUAGUGCUGGGCAAGUGAAGUAGCUAUUUUUCUUUGUAGCUAAAAGAGCUCUGCGUCUGAUAACAUUCUUCUACACAUCAUCUACAUUUCUGAUAUUUAUUUUAUGUGUGACUAAUGGUAUCAUCACACAUACAAAACUUAGAUUGUCGAGUUUGUUUCUGUUUUCACAUCCUACAUCAAACCCAUCAGCCUUGUGUGGUAGUUUCUAGAUCACUUCGCUUGACGUUUCUAAUGCUUAUGAUUUGGGACAAGAUAUUUUAAUCAUGUCAAGAUAAUUUAUAACUGAUCAUGCUUUUCCAGAUACACAACGAUUGCGCACUUCUAAUGCUUAUUAUGUCAAGUAACAAGACAAUCCGAUGGCAUGCAAUGCAACCACUUUUGCACUCGUUGCUGUAGAAUCUAGCCUUAAAAGGAAAAUGAUAAUUGCUCAUAUGCUCUCUGCUGAGACAUUGCUCUAUGUUAUGCAGUAUCUACCAAGGUUCCGGCCAGAGAACUUGGCUCACAACACGAAGUUAUUUGACCGAGUGAAUGAAAUUGCGCAAAGAAAGGGAUGCACCACAUCGCAGUUAGCCCUGGCCUGGGUAUACCACCAGCGUGAUGAUGUUUGCCCAAUUCCCGGCACGACCAAGAUCGAGAAUUUCAACCAGAACACUGGAGCUAUGUCAGUGAAGCUUACACCGGAAGAGAUGGCCGAGCUUGAAUCGAUUGCUUCUGCGGACAAUGUCAAGGGUGGCAGGUACGAUGGAAGCAUGUCUACAUGGGAAAACUCCGACACUCCACCCCUUUCUUCUUGGAAACCUGCCUAGAAGCGUGUCUGCUUCUGUUGCUGCAUCUUUGAUGUGCAGAGUUUGAGCAUUUGCCGCUGAAGUAAUUUGAGUUUAUGUUAUGUGGCUGUUAUAAGUACGUGUAAUAAGAGAGUGACUGUUUUCAUUUUGUACAUGUGAUAUUCACUAUGAGAAGAUUAUGGAUGUGUACUAACCUUACUGGGGAAAGAGCACUCGAUAAACACGAGAGCGAGUUGAAUACGAACUGAGCCCGCCGUGCCGACUUUAUUGGGGUGACUUUUAGAAACUGAGAAAUCGGGAUUUUGAAGAAUUCAAACUCAGUCGUACAUACUAGAGUGACGCUUUAUUCUCCUCCAACCAUGAGUUCAAUACUAAAACCGUGUGCAACAUGCUCUUAAGACUGGAUGCCACACAUAGAUACAAAGCUUCGCUUUGUGUUUGGUUUGGUAGCGAAGUUAAGGAACAGUAAAAUGUUACCGGAUGUUCUCGCGAAAACGAAGUUGGGGUUAAAAUGCUGGCGGGGUUGAUAUGAGUGUCAGAGAAAUCGAAGGUUUCUUGUUCAAGUUUUACCACGUACGGUUCAUGAGCUUUUAUGUAGCUCGAUACCUUCGCUUAUGCGUCUGCAUUAUUAUAAAACGGUCGGAGAUAUUGUGCAAGUUUCCUAAAAUUAAAAAUGACACUUCUAUUGUUUUUUAUUUGGAGUUAGAGUGAAGCAAUAUUGUUUUGUUUUGGUUUAAGAAAAUAACGCAAAUAGUUAUUGAACUUUGGUCCAAUGUGUUAUGUUCUUACUGAACUUUUAACUUAUUUAAUAUGGUUGUCGAACUUUUUGUACAUGUUUAAUUUAAAUCCUAGGCUAGAUAAAUCCAAUGAUGCUGUGUUUGGUCGUUCAAACAUUGUUGCUGAUGCAGCCCGCAUUGAAGACCAGCUCUCUUGAUCAAGAAGAUCGGCCCACAUGCAAGCUCGAUGAAUCCUCUUAUCAAUGAAGUUGUCGAUUGUCGAUGAAGUUCGAUGAAGUUGUCGAUUCAACCGAGAAGCCAUAUUGAUAUCUUGAGUCCAUCCUGGAAGCUUGAAAGAAAACACCUUGUCGAUCUGUAUCGACAAAGAUAUGAUUGUUCUCCUAAGCUUGCAUAGUAAAUUUCUGUUCGUCUUAUUUCCUGUGUGCGAGUCACUCUCCCGAUCCUACCGUUUGAGAAAGCUUAACCUUGGCUUGCAUCAUUUUGGUAUUAGAGCUUUGGAGGAGAGGACAAUGCCUCCAAGACAAGCUAGAUGUCGUGGUGGCAGAACCAUUCCCCUCGAUGAAGUGCACACACUCGCUGAGAAUUUGCAACAAUGUAUGCAACAACAAAUUGACGAAUUGACGCUAGAAGUUUAGCGUUUGAGGGCUGAAGCAAAUAAUUCUCCACCUCGUUCCAGGACUGAAGAUUCCUAUGGUGACUCUUCCUCUUUGGAGAGUGUUCAAUCUAUUCACGGUUAGAGGAAUGUUUGACAUCAUUUACAACAUGUUCGUGAGCCAGAUUGGGAAAAGGAAGUCAUGUUCCAGAAUUUACAUGUACUAAGUCUCCUGAUGAAAUUGUUGAUUGGCUGACACUUGUGAAUGAGGUAUUUGAGCAUCGAAAUGUUCCGGAGAAUCGUCAAGUUGGGAUCAUUGCUAUGUGAUUCCAAGGCAAGGCAAUUGCUGGUGGAGACAUGAAAAACAAACUUGCCAAGCAGUUGGCAAAGCACUAAUCACUUUGUGGAGAAAGAUGGAGGGCAAGAUUCAAAAAUAUUUUCUUCCCAUAGGAUAUAAGAGAGAGCUCUACCAACGGUACCAAAAUCUAAAACAAGGUAAACAAACGGUGGAUCAAUACACCAAUGAAUUCAAUGUGUUGGUGAUUUGUAACAAUAUCUAGGACUCGGAGGAGGUGCUUGUGAACAAAUACUUGAACGGUCUUCAAUUUUACAUUCAAGAUGCCUUGGAAGUCCUCGACAUUUGGGACUUAGGACAUGCACACCAACGGGCACUCAAAAUGGAGCGCUCUCGUUCUUGGAGAUAGCAAUCAAUUACCAUGACAAGUCGGGCCACUAAGAGUACCACUAGCAUUGCUAAAGUUGUUGAGGGUACAAUGCAAUAUGCUAGUAAGCCUUCUACGCAACCCCAUGUUUCGAAGCAACCUGCUAUGUUCAAAAUAUGUUGCUAUUCUUGUGGGGAGUUGGGUCAUCAUGCUAGCAAUUGUCGAAUCAAUAAGAGUCAACCUAUCGGUAAAGCCUUCUUAGUGGAUAAUGAUUCUGAUGAGAAUAUUGAGGAUCCACUUGAAGAGGAGUUGAACAAUGAUGAAGAAGCUGUGCAUGAUGAACAAAUAGUGCAUGUUGACACUAGCGAACUUCUUACGGUGAGGAAAUUUUUUUUACUCCUUGAGAUGACACUGGAGAUAGAUGGCUGCGUACCAAUAUUUUUCAUUCUGCUUGCACAAUCAUGGGAAAGGUGUGUCAAUUAAUUAUUGACUAUGGUUGUUGUGAGUAUAUAAUUUUUGAAGUAGUGGCUAACAAGCUGGAGUUGGAAUUAAAGACGCACCCUACGCCUUAUAAAAUGUUGUGGUUGAAGAAAGGCGCUGAGGUAACUAUUUCAAAAUGAUGCCUUGUUAAUCUGUCCAUUGGUUUUGUUUAUAAUGACAAGAUAUGGUGUGAUGUUCUGCCGAUAGAUGCUAGUCACAGUAUUCUUGGUCGACUGUGGCAAUUCGAUAGGAGGACUAUGCAUGAUGGUUAUCGAAAUACAUAUUCUUUUGAAUUUGGAGGCAAGAAGAUUAUGUUGGCACCUAGUAGGGAACCUUGAGAAUUCCUUCUCCCCUACGUUGUUUACAAUGAAGGAUAUGAACGAUGCUUUGAAAGGAGUUUGUAUCUUGUAUAUUUUGCUUAAUAAAACUAGUGAGAAGAAUGAAGUUGCCUCUAUCAUGCCUCAUUGAGUUCAACCUCUUUUGGAAGAGUUCAAGGAUGUCCUCUCGAUGGACUUACCCGAUGGUCUCCCUCCUAUUAGAGAUAUUCAGCAUCAAACCGACUUGAUGCCUGGAGCCUCUUUGUCGACUCUCGCUCAUUACCGAAUGAGUUUGACCGAACAUGAGGAAUUGCAUCAACAAGUUAUGGAGCUAUUGAAUAAGGGUUUUAUAAGGGAGAGCCUCAGUUCGUGUGCUGUUCCAGCUCUUUUAGUGCCUAAGAAAAAUGGUACUUGGAGGAUGUGUGUCGACAAUAGAGCGAUCAACAAGAUCACCAUCAAGUAUUGAUUUUCUAUUCCUCGCCUUGAUGAUCUCUUAGAUCAACUUUCUGGUGCAAUUAUAUUCUCGAAGCUAGAUUUGAAGAGUGGAUACCAUCGAAUUAGAAUCAAACUCGAAGAUGAAUGGAAGACAGCAUUCAAAAAUAAAGUUGGGCUACAUGAGUGGCUAGUCAUGCCAUUUGGAUUGUCGAAUGCACCAUUGACAUUCAUGAGGUUCAUGACUCAGGUGUUGAAGCCUUUUCUGGGAAAGUUUAUUGUGGUUUAUUUUGAUGAUAUCUUGAUUUUUAGCAAGUCUACUGAUGAGCACUUGUAGCAUCUUCAAGAAGUAUUAUGUGUGUUGAGGCAGGAAUGAUUGUAUGAGGCUCUCAACAAGUGCUAUUUUAUGGUACCACAAAUCCUUUUCUUGGGGUUAUAUAUUUCAAAGAAUGGCAUUUCGGUGGAUGAUUCUAAGAUCAAGGUGAUUCGAGAAUGGCCAACUCCAACAAAUGUGCAUGAAGUGCAACGUUUUCUUGGUCUCGCUUCAUUUUAUCGACAGUUUAUUGCGCAUUUUAGCACCACUGCAGCCCCACUCACUUCUUGCAUGAAGAAGGGAGAGAAAGCCCAACCUUGGCUUGCAUCAGUUGCUCUAUGGGAUGAUGAUAGGAUAAAAAUCCCAUCUAUUAUUUCUUGACGUCUGGAUACAGCAUGAUUCAAAUAAAUAUUUUUUAAAUGAGUGUUUGAUUUGUAUAAUUAAAAUUAAAAUUAAACCAUGGAAGUCGUAAAUACUAUUCAUCCUUUCACAAUCUUCAUCCAUAUCAAACACCCCCGUUCCAUGUGACUUCAAGGACUCUCGCUCCUUCUGCAACACCCCUUUCGCUGCCCUUGAUCAACUUGAUGGAUUACGCUCGCUCUACCUUUGACUUCGCCACAUUGAGAGGCCCUUGGGUUUGAGUUCUCCGCUAGUCUAGCCAUCUUUACUUUCAACGCUUUUCCUGCGAUGAAUCCAUCCCCUUCGACGAGUGCGAAUACUGCGUCGAUUCCCUGUUACCGUGCCCCGACUUGUUCAGUCACUUCAACAGCUUCCCCCGAGACAGCGUGCGGAUCCGGUUUGUGAGUGGUAGCACGAUCGGUACUAGUUGCUCCGAGUGACGUGGUUGAGGAGCUCUAUCACCUUGGCUGCCGCCUCUUUCGGAUCAUCUUCUUCACAGAGGAGGUGUCCAGCUUUGAUCGGGAUCACAAAUUUCCCUACUAAAAUGAAGUUGAGUGACACAAGAAAGAGGUAGGGCUGACGAGCUCCGCGAUACUCAUGCUCAUGCUCUAAUUUUGUGGUGGUCAUUUUAGCGAGACAAAUUGGAACAAGAGAGAGAUGAUGGUGACACUGGUCAAAAGCGCCCCGGGGGGUGGUCAGUUUUUCAAAUUUCACAUAUUUUAUCUGGCUUUAUAUACUUUCUAGAUGUGAUUUUUUAUCCGGACUAUAUCCUAAUUUCACAUUACUCUAGACACCAUAUAGGAUUAAACUUAUCAUAUUAGAGUUCUAUCCAGCCCUUCAAAUGCAGUCUUAUGAGAUAGAAUGCAAUGAUAUAAUCUGUGAACUAAAUUUAAACAUUUAUUAAAAGUUUACGAACGAAAUUUCACAUUUUGAUUGUUAAGAUGCAUGAGUGAGUUAUGUUAAAAUAAUCACAUAAUAUAUUGAUAGCUUUAAAAAUGGGCCUUCUCUUGGUGAUGACGUUGAUCCAUAUGGAGAAAUUAAUGAGAGGGUUUAUUUGGCCUAACUAAAUGGGAGGCUAUGGGCUCGUUUGAUAACGUUUCUGUUCAAAAAUUGUUCCAGGGAAUAGAAAUAAAAAAAAAAGUGUUUCUGUUCCGGGGAACAAUUUUUGACCAAAAACACUCGUUUGGUAAACUUGUUCUGGGAACAAUUCUUUUUUUGUUUCUUUUAAUUUUUUAAUAUUUUUAUUUUAUUUUUAUUUUUUUCCUUUCUUUUUUCUUUUUUCUUUUUUUCUUCUUUUGGCGGGCGACCGGCUGACGGGGGCCGACAGCCUCGCCCAGCCACGGCGAGGCCAAGCCUUGCCGGUGCGGGCGAGGCUGAGCCUCGCCUUGGCUGGGUGAGCUUGGCCUCGCCCAGAUCUAGUGAGGCCGAGCCUUGUUGGCCACUGGGCAAGCUCGGCCUCAUCAGCCACUGGGCGAGCUCGCCCAGCCAAGGCGAGGCCGAGCCUCGCCCAACUACAGCCAGGCUCGGCCUCGCUGGGGGCCGGCGACGCUCCGGCGAGGUCGUCGGCCCUCGACGGCGUCGCUGACCCUCGACGGCCGGUCGCCGGCCAUGGCCGAGGCCAGCAAUCGGCCAAAGAAAAAAGAAAGAAAAAAGAAGAAGAAAAGAAAAAGAAAAAAGAGAAAAGUGUUAAAAAAAUUUGUUUCAGAAACAAGAAACAACUUUUUUUUUGUUUUUUGUUUCUGUUCCAGAUGUGUUUUUGGGAACAAAAAAAAUAGUUUUGGAACAAAAACGCACACAAACGCGUUUCUGUUCCCUUUUUGUUCUCAGGAAAAAAAAACAGAAAAAUUGUUCAAAAACAUAAAAAAGAAACAACAACAAAUGCAGCCUAUAUCAAUGGGAGGUUUUUCAUUGUAACAUUCCCUUGUGCUUGGAAUUUGUUUUUUAGUAAAGGAUUUUAUUAGCAUAAUAAUAGUCUUUGGAUUAUUAUGUGAAUAACAAUUUAUUGUGAGUCACAAUUUUUUUUUUAAAGUAAUGAACCCCAUAAUAAUUUCAAUUAUUUGUUACUUUAUUUUCGUAGUUGUUAGAAAAAUAGAAAGCUUGGAAUUUUGGGAGAAUUGUAUAUUGCUUUUCUAUAUUCCUUUCAAUAUGUAAUUACAAUCUAUUUAUAAUACAGAGAGUCUAAAAUAAUAAAGGAAUAAAAAUAUACACAAUAUCCCAAAGAUGUACAUAAAAUAUUCCCUAUCAAUUAAGAUCAAUCGACAUCAGCAACGGUAUCUUCAACACUCCCCCUCAAGCUCGGCGGUUUAUACACAUCGAAGACGCCUAGCUUGUUUAAUAGAUACAAAUGUUGCCUCUGACAUAAAGCCUUGGUAAAAAUGUCUGCAGGUUGCUCUGUUGUUCUUAUCUCUUUUGUUCUAAUCACCCCACUUUGGAUCUUGUCUCGAAUGAAGUGACAAUCAACCUCUAUAUGUUUUGUCCUUUCAUGAAAUACUGGGUUCAUUGCAAGCUUAAUUGCAGCAUCAUUAUCACAAAAUAGGACAAUGGGCUCUCUUAUCUGUACACCAAGGUCUUGAAGGAGGCCUCUUAUCUAGACUAUCUCACAGCUAGUCUUCGCCAUUGCUCGGUAUUCUGCCUCAGCGGAUGAUAAAGAUACGGUUGACUGUUUCUUUGUCUUCCAUGAAAUUAGAGAAUCCCCUAAUUUUAUACAGAAUCCUAUGACUGAUCUUCUACUCAUGGGACAAGUAGCGUAAUUUGUGUCACAAUAUGCUGUCAUCUCCAAAUUGUUGUCUCGAGACAACAAUAUUCCCAAUCCAGGACACCCUUUUAAGUAUUUUAUGACUUUCAGUGCCGCAUUCAUGUGAGACUGUUUCGGAGCAUGCAUAAACUGGCUAAGAAUCUGAACUGCAUAAGAAAUGUCUGGCCUGGUCAUGGUCAAAUAAAUAAGCUUUCCAACAAGUCUUUGAUAAGCAGAAGGAUCUUUAAGCAAAGGAUCCUUGUUUACAGGUGACAACCCUUUGUCAUAUUCAGCUGUCGUUAAUCUGAUAUUCUGAUCAAUUGGAAUAACAGCCGGUCUAGAUCCUAACAAACCGGCUUCUGACACAAUUUCUAAGACAAAUUUCCGUUGGCUAAGACAAAUGCCCUUAUUUGACCGUGCAAUUUCUAUCCCAAGAAAGUAUUUGGGAGAACCCAAAUCCUUAAUAUGAAAUGUAGAAUGCAAAUACUCAUUGAAUUUCUCAAUGGCAGGCGCAUCGUUUCCCAUAAUGAGUAUAUCGUCAACAUAUAUAAGUAAAUAGAUUGACGACAUACCUUGUUUCCAUGUGAAUAAAGCAUAGUCAUGCUUAGAUUGCUGGAAUUUUGCAGUUGUAAGUGCACCGGUGAACUUGGCGUACCAUUGACGAGAAGCUUGCUUGAGUCCAUAUAGGGAUUUCUGAAGACGGCACACACUCCCCUCCCCCUGUCUGCGAAAUCCCGGUGGAAUAUCCAUAUAAAUCUCUUCUUCAAGAUCUCCAUGUAAAAAAGCAUUGUGAACGUCCAUUUGAUGAAGGGGCCAGUCACGGAUGGCAGCAAUGGAAAGAAAAGACCGUAUGGUGACUUCUUUGGCAACUGGAGAGAAAGUUUCCGUAUAGUCAAAGCCUUCCUUCUAUGUGAAUCCCUUCGCAACCAAUCUGGCCUUGUAAUGUUCAAUGGAUCCAUCUGCUUUAUAUUUGAUAUUGUAUACCCAUUUGCAUCCUAUGGAUCGACGAUGGGGAGGUAGACGAACAAUAUCCCAAGUCUCAUUUUCGAUGAGAGCUUGUAACUCAUCUUUCAUAGCCUGUUGCCAACGAGGAUCCUUGGCAGCCUCAUCAUAAGAGGAAGGUUCCUGCUGUGCAAAAAUUCUACUAACAUAGCAUAUAUGUUCAAGAGAGAGAUUAGCAAAACUGACAUAAGAGGAGAUGGGGUAUUGUGUACCACGCCUUUUUGACGAUGAACAAACGUAAUCCGCUGUCCAUGUUGGUGGUCGGACUGUGCGUCUUGAUCGCCGAAGAUUAGUUGGUUCAGAUGGAACAUCAGUUUGUGAGGCUGCAGAGACAUCAUCCGCCGGAAUAUUUGCUUGCAAAAAAUCAGGUCCUUCAAGUAUACUUGAUGAAGGAAGACUGGAAAUUGCAUUGUCCCCAUCUGAGCUGAUAGGUGCAUUGAUACUUGAGGAUGCUAUAGGAGAUAUCAUUUGUGGAAGCAUCAUCAUUGAUCCUUGUGGAGGAUCGUCUUCAUGCAGAAAGGGACGAGAAGAUGUCAGGGGAUCAUCAUGCUGAUAUGAUGGUAGCCUAUCCUUGAAAGGGAAGACAUCUUCAUGAAAUGUGACAUCUCUGCUGACAAAGAAUCUGCCAGUAGAUGGAUCAAGAACCAAGUAUCCUUUUUGAAGGGUAGAAUAUCCCAUAAAUACCGCAAGAAAGGCACGNNNNNNNNNNNNNNNNNNNNNNNNNNNNNNNNNNNNNNNNNNNNNNNNNNNNNNNNNNNNNNNNNNNNNNNNNNNNNNNNNNNNNNNNNNNNNNNNNNNNGGACGUUUUCCAAACAAUGACUCGAAUGGAGUCUUUCCACUCAAAAUUCGAGAUGGCAUUCUAUUGAUCAGGCAUGCUGCUGUGACCACACAGUCUCCCCAAAAAAUUUUAGGAAUUGAAGCUUGAUACUUAAGAGCUCGAGCGACUUCUAACAAAUGACGGUGUUUCCUUUCUACAAUCCCAUUUUGUUGGGGAGUAUAAACACAAGAGCUUUCAUGAAGAAUGCCAUUGGAAAUGAACAAUGAAGAACAUUCAUGAUUAAAGAAUUCUCGUGCAUUGUCAGUACGAACCCGUUGUACGGAUUUGUUAAAUUGAUUUUUGAUCAGGACAAUGAAAUUUUUGAGAUGUGAAAGAACUUGGGCUUUGGAUUGCAUAAGAAAAACCCAAGUUGCUUGAGUAUGAUCAUCUACAAUAGUAAGAAAGAAGCGUGACCCAUCACGAUGAGAGGUGUGAUAUGGGCCCCAAAUGUCUAUGUGCAAUAGAGAGAAGGCUCUAGUAGCACGCGAUGCACUUUGUGGAAAAGACAUUAUAGACUGUUUAGCUAAUGGGCAUAUAGGACACUUAGGAUGAGGAAAAAUGGCGCUGUGGCCUAGACGCUGAUGAGAUAAAAAAGGUAUCUUUAUUAUGAUUGGCAUUACAUAAGAUGCUCUUAUUGAAUGAAAAAUUCUUUGGAAAUGCCGUCCAGAAAUAAAGUCCCUCGAAAUUCCUACCUGAGCCCAUCAGUGUCCUAGUCAAAGGGGCCUGGAAGAGACAAGUGUCAAAAUCGAAAAUGACCUGACAGAAAUUGUCUUGACAAAUCUUGGAUACAUAAAUGAGAUUGAACUGAAAAUUCAGAAUGAAGAGGACAUUUUUUGGUGUGAUGGAAGAGCUCAGUUUAACAUCCCCAAUUUUAUCUACUGAAAUAUCACUACCAUUUGGGAGGCGAACGGAAGUGUGAUUUGAGGAUUUUUCUAAUUUAGAGAAGAACCGUUCAUCACAGACUAUAUGGUCACUAGCACCUGAAUCAAUAAUCCAUGCGUUGCUCGAAAUAUUGCAGUUCAAACAAUGAGAAAUACCUGCAUAGCUAGGCAUCUUUUCUUGAAUGCCCAUCUGACUUAAGGUCCUCAUGAUUUGUUGGAGUUGGUCAUUGCUGAUGGGUUGAUUUACCUUAGCAUUUGUUGCUAUAGAAUUUCCAAUAGAAAAUUCUCAUUCCUUCUUCUCCCCUGGUCUUCCAUGCAAUUUCCAACAAUUUUCUUUGGUAUGAUAAGGUUUUUUGCAAUAAUCACAAAAUUUACCUUUCCAUUUGUUUGAAUUAUUUCUGGUCGAAGACGUGGCAAAAUUUGGGCCGUUGGAUCGCUUUAAAACGGACGCUGAUGGUCCGUUCGAUCGCGGUGCUGCAAGGGCGAAAUUUGAGCCGUCCGAUCGCGCAAAAGAACCUCCACUGUCCGAUCGCGCAAAAGAACCUCCACCGUCGGAUCCGAAGAUUGGAUCUCGGCCAUUCAAUCCGCGCGAGCUGCCCGAGCCGUCCGAUCUCCCGAAAUGAUCCUGGCCGCCCAUUUGAGACAUAUAAAAAACCUCAUCUUCUUCCUUCCGAAACCCUAGUGUUCCUGCCCUUUUCGAAAAACCUCCAUGGUCGGACCUUGAAGACCCGAGCCGCUGCUCCGACGAAGCCUUGGCCGCGAGAACGACGCGCUCGCCACUCUUCACAUACUCGGACGACGCCAGCUUCUGGGAUUCUUCUUGAACCGCAAGCUGGUAUAGGACNNNNNNNNNNNNNNNNNNNNNNNNNNNNNNNNNNNNNNNNNNNNNNNNNNNNNNNNNNNNNNNNNNNNNNNNNNNNNNNNNNNNNNNNNNNNNNNNNNNNNNNNNNNNNNNNNNNNNNNNNNNNNNNNNNNNNNNNNNNNNNNNNNNNNNNNNNNNNNNNNNNNNNNNNNNNNNNNNNNNNNNNNNNNNNNNNNNNNNNNNNNNNNNNNNNNNNNNNNNNNNNNNNNNNNNNNNNNNNNNNNNNNNNNNNNNNCACUCUGACCCGGGAAGGACCAGUUCGCCCCAUAUCCGGACCCGCUCCAGGUAUGUGAGAUGAGCUUUCCUUUAGCCCACCAAUCCUUCCGGGGUUGAUUUGAGGUGAAUUCUGUGUCGAAUCUCCUUGAUUUGGUUGGAUUGAUACAGGUACCCACUGAACGUAUGGUCUUGUGAGGGGAUUUCCAGGAUUAAAUCCUAUGUUGAGCUGUGCAGGCUGCACGAGGCUUGUUUGACUUUCUGAUGGAUUCAUCUGUCGUUUUGUAGGGAUGACUUGUGGAUUUCCCUCAAUCCCCACAGAAACGCCGGAAGUUGAAUCCUCAGUCUUUGACAUGAUUUCUCCCUAAGAAGGCGUUGCGGAAGCUAGGCCAAGGCGGGAGGCUCUGAUACCAUGUCAGAAAAAUAGAAAGCUUGGAAUUUUGGGAGAAUUGUAUAUUGCUUUUCUAUAUUCCUUUCAAUAUGUAAUUACGAUCUAUUUAUAAUACAGAGAGUCUAAAAUAAUAAAGGAAUAAAAAUAUACACAAUAUCCCAAAAGAUGUACAUAAAAUAUUCCCUAUCAAUUAAGAUCAAUCGACAUCAGCAACGGUAUCUUCAACAGUAGUAACUGUUGUUUUCAAUUAAGUUUGCAUCGGAGAAGAGAUUAUUUUGUUUUGCUACGCUUGUCGGAUAUUGCGCAGGAUAUUGUCAUUUUCUUAGCACUAGCAACGUUGCGUUCAGACAAGGCGGCAUGGAAUUAUUUGCUUAGCUGCACAUCGCACGACCAUACAUUCAUGGACUGUUCCUCAGGAAAGCAUAUAGACAUGUGGCAGAUGCAGAACAUUUCACGAGAUUAAAAAAAAAAGAAAAUAAUUUUUAAAAAACAAUACUUUCGACUUCAAAACGUGCCAAUCGAACGCCUGCUAGUCCCGCCUAUAAAGCUCGGCUCACCCAACGGCUUCGUUGUCGUCUCGAACUGUCCAUUCUCCAUUCUCUGUUCUUGCAUCGACCUCGAGCUAGAGGAUGGCCCGCAAUGGCGUCGUCAGACGGUGAGGAGGAUCAAGUUGGGGUCGUAGGGUCUCAAGGUCUCGGCGCAGGGGCUGGGCUGCAUGGGCAUGUCUACUUCGCCGGCCCUCCCAAGCCCAACCCCGACACGAUCGAGCUUGUCCACCACGCCGUUGAAUCUGGCGUUGCCUUCCUCGACACCUCCGACAUCUAUGGCCUUAACGCCAAGGAAGUCCUCCUUGGAAAGGUCGGUAUUUAUUUUGUAGAUAUAAUUGAAGAUCUUGAUCGUGACGCCAAUCCUAAUUGCGGACUAAUUGANNNNNNNNNNNNNNNNNNNNNNNNNNNNNNNNNNNNNNNNNNNNNNNNNNNNNNNNNNNNNNNNNNNNNNNNNNNNNNNNNNNNNNNNNNNNNNNNNNNNNNNNNNNNNNNNNNNNNNNNNNNNNNNNNNNNNNNNNNNNNNNNNNNNNNNNNNNNNNNNNNNNNNNNNNNNNNNNNNNNNNNNNNNNNNNNNNNNNNNNNNNNNNNNNNNNNNNNNNNNNNNNNNNNNNNNNNNNNNNNNNNNNNNNNNNNNNNNNNNNNNNNNNNNNNNNNNNNNNNNNNNNNNNNNNNNNNNNNNNNNNNNNNNNNNNNNNNNNNNNNNNNNNNNNNNNNNNNNNNNNNNNNNNNNNNNNNNNNNNNNNNNNNNNNNNNNNNNNNNNNNNNNNNNNNNNNNNNNNNNNNNNNNNNNNNNNNNNNNNNNNNNNNNNNNNNNNNNNNNNNNNNNNNNNNNNNNNNNNNNNNNNNNNNNNNNNNNNNNNNNNNNNNNNNNNNNNNNNNNNNNNNNNNNNNNNNNNNNNNNNNNNNNNNNNNNNNNNNNNNNNNNNNNNNNNNNNNNNNNNNNNNNNNNNNNNNNNNNNNNNNNNNNNNNNNNNNNNNNNNNNNNNNNNNNUUAGACAUUGCUUUAUGUUAUGAAGUACCUACCAAGGCUGCGGCCAGAGAACUUGGCUAACGCAAAGUUAUUCGACCAAGUGAAUGAAAUUGCACAAAGAAAGGGAUGCACCCCAUUGCAGUUAACCCUCGCGUGGGUACACCACUGGAGUGAUGACGUUUGCCCGAUGCCCGGCACGAUCAAGAUCGAGAAUUUCAACCAGAACAUUGGAGCUCUGUCAGUGAAGCUUUUGCCAGAAGAGAUGGCCAAGCUCAAAUCAAUUGCUGAUAUGGACAAUGUCAGGCGUGAGAAUUAAAACCACAUUUGAUACUAAAUUAUGCCUAGGUAGAAAUUCAAAACUCCACCUCCCGCUUUUCAUGUGGGAAGUUUGGCCCCACCUCGCGCUUAUGGAAAGAGUAAUCACGAAGACAUCACAAUAGUUCAAUUGACGUGAGCAGGUACGUCUUCCCUACAUGGUAAGGGUCGUCACUGGGCGUGCAAUUGACGUAAGCACGUGCGUCUUCACAGCCACUACCGCUCCCCUCCUACUCAUCGUAGCUUCUGCCACUCCCCUCCUAUAAAUCUCGGCUCGCCCGACGCCUUCGCCAUCGUCUCGGUGCAUUGCAGGGAACGAUCGAGCUCGAGCUAGACUACGGCAAUGGCGGCAUCGACGACGACGACGGUGAGGAGGAUCAAGCUGGGGUCGCAGGGCCUCGAGGUGUCGGCGCAGGGGCUGGGCUGCAUGAGCAUGUCCGCCUUCUACGGCCCUCCCAAGUCCGAGCCCGACAUGAUCGCCCUCAUCCACCAUGCCGUCGGCUCCGGCGUCACCUUCCUCGACACCUCCGACGUCUACGGUCCUCACACCAACGAAAUCCUCCUCGGAAAGGUCGUUCUCUCAGUCUCUCUUUUGCCUCUGCAUGAAUUAUAUAUGCUUAUGGUUUUACGGAAAUUUGCUUCAUCGAGCAGGAUGCUCUGAUCCUGCGCCUUGGUUUUCUGAUUUCGGGGUUGAUUUUGAGCAGGC
rnacentral:lncRNA from 1 species